UGUUAGAGCGCUUUCCGACUCAGCAUUUGGAGUACUUUUCUGAAGGAGAUUGGUGGCUUGUGACUCAAAGUGGUUUCUCAUAGUUUCACGUCUUGUGGAAUUUCUCGGGACAGCAAUCCUGAGGGUACUCAUGUGCCGUGUACUUGGGGGAUGCAAGCUCUGAUUUUGCUGUGACAUAGAGACUGGGAAGGCAGGCAUGCCAUUGAGGAUGGCAAGCAGAGGAGGUGAUUUUCCCCUUGUCUCUUUCCUUUGAGAAGUGUAUUCAUUGCCCAAUCCUCAGUUCGGAUAUUCACCUCAUAGCAUUUUUCCUAAUCAUUUGGCAACUCUUGCAGGUGCUGGUUUGUAAGCCCACAGUUCCUGGAGCUCUCUGUACAAAGCUGGGAUGCUCAGGACACGAGGGCCAACAGGAGCAGAGCUUGCUGCUUGCAAGGAGGGUGUGUGAGUAGUAGCUCCAGGCACCACUAGUCCAGACCCUGCAGAGGUUUCCCCUGCUCCGAAGUGUACAGUGGGGUGCUGCAGGACUCUGAGCAGCGACUGAGGUGCAGGCGUAGAGUUUAAGUGAGUGUGCUUAUGGCCACCCUGUGGGCGUGCUGUUUGCUAUCUCCACAUCAAAAUGUGAGCGAGCACUGGCUGGGGGGGCCACCAGAGGAGCUCGACCCAAGGCCCAAGUUGGGUGGGAAGAGCUGCCCUGUGAGCUGCCCUGAGUAACCUUGGUGCGGUACGGAGAGGGGUCUGUGUUCUGUGGGGUAGUGGGCUCCUCUGAGGAAUGGGGAAGGCUAUGCCAGUGGCUUGAGGCCCGCCUGUGGGCAUCUGAACAGGAAUGCUGUGACUUUAUCUGAAUUGUGUGAAACCCAUAAAAUCGUCACUGGUAUUGUCGUGGGUGAUAGGACUGCCAAGCACUUUCCUGAACCAGGUACAUUGUGUUUCCCUGAAGGAUAUAGGUGGCUGGCAAGAACUGUGUCCAUACUCAGGACCAUUUAUCUGCAUGUGGUGGGAGGACUCGAUGACUGAAGAUGGAUGCUGUGUUUGGUGCGGGGACAUUGGUGACAAUGUCUACAGGGCUGAGGCUGCAGCUCAGUGGCUGAGUGCUUAGCCAGCAUGCUUGAGGCCCCGGACAUGUGUCCCUAGCACACAAAUUACAUAAGCCAGGCCUGUCUGCCUCUCAGAGUCUCAUCUGAAAGACUGGCCAUUGUGGGCUUGCGGACAGGCUUGGGGAAGAAAGAGUAAGGCUCCUGGGCUUCAUUUUCACACCUAAAGAAAAUGGAUAUUAGGGAAGAUGAGUGGGUGGCCGGCUGCUAGCCCAGGAACUGCUCUGAAGGAACUAGGGCCAUGAGCUUUGCCCUUGCUAGACACUUGCCUGGUGUCUCGUUAGGCUCAGAUUGAUUCUGGCUUUUACUGUCUAGCCCUACUUUUCCAGCUAUCAUUGGGGGGCCAGUAACUACCCUUUGAAUCACAUGUGAUCUGCAAUGGUCCCGUAUGAUCAACACACGACAAGGGCUCUGCUGAGAGCCGGUUGAGAGGGCACCAGCUCAUGGUACUGGCUGAAUACUGUGGACCCAGGUUGGGCUGUGUAGGGUGCUACUACAGCUGCCUAUAGCCUUGCCUGCUGGAAGCACAGCUGGAUCAGACAGAGACACAGGACAAUGGUGUAGCCAUUGGAGAGCCAGAGCCCUUCCCAUGCUCUGCCUCUUAGUACUUAAAUAGGCCUCCUUUCCACUUCACACCUGCAUGUGGCUUGCUGGAAGAAAUGCUGAAAUCUUGACAAAGCCAAAGGUUGCCAGGGGGCACUAAGCCUCCUGCCCUUUGCACACUGGCUUUGGAGAGCACUUGCCCUCCUUGUCAGUAUACUGUCUCUUGGGACUGCAGCUGGCAGGCAGGGUAGCCACAGUUGCGUCCGUGGCACCUUACAGUGUAGCUAGAGACUGGACUUCAACUUCAAGAACUUAGGGGAAAAAUUGGACAUUAAACUCAAAGUAAGCAAAAAGGAAAUGAUAAAAAACAAACAAACAAACAAACAAAAAACAGCAGAAAUCAAUGAACUAAGAAACAAACAAAAUCCCUGAAGUAGACAAAGUAACCAGAAGCUUGUUCUUUGAGAAAGUCGGUGAACUGUAUCGACUUCCAGCCAGAUUGAUUAAGGAGUAAUUAUGUAAAUUGCCAGUGCCGGACCAAGCUAGGGAGCUUCUGCUCAGGCUCUGCGGAGAUGAUGAGGGAGGUUCGUUACAAGGCACCGUAUGCAGAGGACGGGGUAGGUCAGCAGGUAGCUUUGUAUCCAUCACGGAGAGGGUUCCGUUAAAACCUUUCACAGAGAAACUCCUUAAGGAAGAAAUAAUAGGAAAUCCUCGUAAACUCCUUUAGAAAACUGUGAAAGGUGGAAUCCGGCCAGUAGGAUGCUGAGGGCUAAAGAUGCUUGCCAUACGUGCCCAAGGACCCCGGUUCAAUGCCUGGCACCCACGUGGAGGUGGAGGGAGAGAAAUGACCCUUAAAGAUUAUCCUCUGACCUUCAUGUGUAUCCUGUGGCGUGUGUCCUCUCCCAGCUAUCACACGCACACAGUAAUGAUGAUGAUGAAUAAUAAAAUGAUGAUAAUGAUAUAAUGAUGAUAAUGGAAAGAAAAAUGAGAAGAAGUAAGAGAAACAGAUUUUGAAGAAAACCCACACAAAGCAACACAGUUGCAGACUGUUUUCAUCCCCCCUCCCCUCAGCUUUAACACGGCUAAAGCAGGAGUUUAGCCUAUGCUACCUCAUGGACUAUAUACAGCAUCAAUUGAGCGGGGCUCAUCGAUGGAAGGCAAGGUUGGUUUAACAUCAGAAAACCCACAGUUGUAGCUCUCCAUGUUGAUAUAAACUAGGAAAGGAAAAUGAAGUAAAUAGCUUCAUCUGAUGCCACGUGCAGCAUUUAAUAAAGUCUGGCGUCUAUUUCCGGAGUGCUCUCUGCCACCGUGAAAUAGAGAAGAGCUUCCGCUGUCUGACUAGCUGCUCUCCCAUGCUUCUCAGGGGAGGUCUUGACCUGGGCUCUGUGGAAUCUCUGUGACAUUGAAGCAACACCACACAGAGAUACUGGCUGUGACAUAAGCUGCUAGGUCUUUCUUACAGCUUGUACAUGCUUUUGCACUUAAUAAUUAUAGUUAAAAAUGGCUGUACUGGAGGAAUCUGCAAAGAAUUUAAGUUAAGCAAACAGCAUGUUCUUCCUUCUCUUCCCCUUCCCCCACUCCUCUUUUUCUUUCUUAUGUGUGUACCUGCUGUCCUGCAUCUGGAGAAGCCAGAGGACAACAUAUAAAAGAGCUUUAAUGAAAGUUAUUUACAUGUGAGUGUGUGUGUCUGUCACUGUGUGUCUGUGUGCAUGUGCCAAUGCAUGCGAGCCAGUGGUGGGAGAAGAACAUGCAGAGCUGCCUCUCCCCGUCUAUUGUGGGUUCCGGGGAUUGAACUCAGAUCUGGAGCUUCUGCAGCAAGUGUUGCAUCUUAAUGUAGGGCCUCUUCCUGCCAAGUUGGCAGAGAAUGGGUGCGGGAGAGGAAUGCUCAGUGGAGUAGGCAGCCCCUGAGCAGGAGGCAUCGGAAGAGAAGGCUUCUUUCAGCAAAGGCUACUGGACCAGGUUGCAGUGAUGGUUGGGACUCACCAGGCAGCGUGGUGAUAUGGACAUUGACAUGGCCUGGAGGAGACCACCAUGAAAAUAGCAGUGAAAUUGCCACAGUCACCUGCUCCCAGGCCAGAUCUGCCUUUCUGACCAAGACUCGGUGGCCCAGGUGCCAUGGGUGACUGACCAGAAUCAGUCCGGUAAUUACAUAGCAGAGCCAAGAUGGCUUCCAAACAUCCAGUUCCAAGCUCAGGACCCAAGCCUUCCAGAAUGCUGGCAGCUCAGGGAGGACAGUCACUUGAGCCUGCUGAGUCCAGAGAGCAGUGGGGCAGAGAGGCUCUGAUGCCUACCAGGGACCUUUCCGUUCCCCAGGGCUGCAGUUGCGCAUCAUUCAGGGGAAAUUAGGACACAUCUUCACGAGGUGAAGUUAAUGGCCAGGGUCAGGCAGCCUCUAAGUAGACGUUAAAUCCAGCCCAGGUGCUUCUGACUCCAAGGCUUGUGCAUAAGCCAUCUCUACCACACCGCAGUGUCACCGCCGGCACAAUUCCUGUGCCUCUGAAUUUAUUACAGGAUCCAGAACACCCUCUAUUGAUUCAAGCUAUAGUGAUGAAAUAGUCAUGUCUAAGCCUUUUGGCCUAUCUGACCUCAGUUUCCACCCUGUGAAAGGCAGAUAAUAAGGCUUCCUUCCAGCCCUUGUAGGGAGGGAAGUGUCUGCUAUUAGUCCUGGUAGAUAAGAAAAGCUCACAAAAUGGCAAAUCCAAUUCAGCUCCAAAUUAUUUCUAAUCUGUCCCAGUGAUAGUUACAGAGACAGGGCAUUUUCCCUGCAACAUUUAAGCAUAAAAGCUUCACAGAAAUCCUUUAAUCUGCUCAACAAUUUUAAAACUUAAUAAGAAAUUUAGAAUGGAGAGCUGGGGAGAGAGGCUGUUGUCUGUGGAAUGCUAAAACAAGUGCUAAAUGAGGCCAAAGGAACAUUCCUCCAGAUCUAAGUAGUGUGAAGCCAAGACCUUUUGUGACCAUGGCUGUUGUGUCAAACCUUCUGCAGGUGUGUGUGUGUGUGUGUGUGUGCGCGCGCCUGUGUGUACAUGACAUGGGUGUUGGUCUUAUGGUGCCUUCUACUUUGUAGUUUUGUUUUACUUUGAAUUAUGCAUAUGUAUAUAUGUCUGUUUAUAGGUAUGUGCACACAAAUUCAGGUUUUCUUGGAGGCCAGAGGUAUUGGGUCUCCUAGAGAUGGACUUACAGGUACUUGUGAACUGCCUGGUGUGGGUGCUGGAAGCUGAACUCAAGUCUUCUAGAAUAGUAAUAAGGACUUUCACGUGCCAAGCGAUCUCUGCAGCCCCAUCCCUAUUCUUUGAAACAGGGUCUUUCUUUGGCCUGGAAUGUCACGGUAGUUGGCCCAUGAGCUUCCAGGGAUCCUUGUGUCUUCUCGUCCCAUCUCUGCAUUGGUAGGGUUACCCGUGUACGUCACCAGGACGGGAUUUCUGCAUGGAGCCUAAGCUUGGAUUCUCGUGCUUGCAUGGCCGGUGCUUUACGUACUGAGCCAUCUCUCUAGCCCUCUUGCAGCUUUGAUCCAAUUCACGUGCUUGAUCAGUACAUGCUCAGUUCUAAUGCUGGGAGCAGAGCCACUCACAGUGUCUGAGAGUCACAUUCUGGCCAGAGACUAACACUGAACAAGUAAAUGCUGGUUGUGAUGUCUGCUGAGGAUAGACACAGACAGAGACAGGGGUGACUUCCAUCUCUGGUUUGGAGAGAAGGUCUGCAGAGUUCAUUGCAGCCCUGGUGAGAGAGGGACAGGUGUACCCAGCCUGUCCCACUCUGGGUCAUUGAUGGGCCACUGGAGUCAUAUCAUUAUUUGGAUACUAACUGAAGCUGCCAACAUUUGAAGUAUUCUUUUUGCCAGUUAUUUUUCCCCCCAGGUGAUUGCAAGUUAAUUAAAGAUAGAGGUGAGACUUACUGAUGUCUGCAUUUCCUCCUUUGCAAGGGGCAGGCACAUGCAGUAUAUAGACUCUUAGUGUGGAACCAGCGAGACAGAAAGGCACUGAAAUGGCUUCUAGAGCCACACCCCACCCUUGGCGGUGCUUGUUGAAACAGUGUUAGCCUGCCCCACAAUCACAUGGAGGGCCACCCUCACCUUCUCACCUGGAGGGCUGGAAAUGUGUACUUCUGGGGGCACUCCUGAGUGAUGCAGCUGAGGUGGAGACCUUAACUUGUCUCCCCCUUUAGUCUUUAUUAGUAAGUAGGACUAGCCUUUGGCAUCUUGUUUUGGUUUUUAAGACAAGGGUUUUCUGUUUAGCCCUGACUGUCCUCAAACUUGCUCUGUAGACCAGGCUGGACUCAAAGAACUCACAGAGAUCCAUCUGCCUUUGCCUCCCAAGUGCUAGGAUUAAGGUAUGCACCACCACCGAUGACUUACCUACAGCAUUCUUAAGAGGGUUUGAAACCUUCCUGGUGUACCUCAGCGACAGGCAUGUGAUAAAAACAGGAGUUCAUUUUGAGAUAUACUUCUAUGACAGACUUAUAUAUAGUACCCGGAAUCCCAAAAAGGAGUUUUCAUAAUUCUUUGUCAUAAAACCCUGACAUAAGCACAUAAUUAAAACCAAGUCUAGGCAUUAAAAGGCUGAUCUGGGGGCUGAUCUUAAAACCUUUGCAUAGAGAUACGGAAUCCUGCCUGCUCCAGCCCAGGAUGUGCCCAUAGUUAGGAUUAAUGGCUGUACAGCAACAGAAACCAUCCAUUGUUUGAAUUCAUGACCCUGUGCUGCAAAGGGCUACACUGUUCAUCUGCAGGGUCUCCAGGGACACUGGGUGUUUCUCAGAGCCAAGCAGGUCUCAUGGGACUAUUAUUGUGAGCUGGCUUCUGCCAUCACACUCAGCAUGAUUGAUCUGCAGACAGCAGGGAAGAGCCAGGCAGGAGAAGAAAACGUGUACUUUUAUUGCAUUCUUGCCAAAGAAGGAAAUUGAGUUAAGUCUGCCAUUUGGAAUGACUGACAGUAAGCAAUAUGUUUGCCUGGGUAAGGACAUUAGGUGACAUGACUAGUCCCUAAAAAUCCAAAGCACUUUAGAGACUACGCCAAAACAAAAUAAUUCUUACCCUGCUUCCCAAGUAUCUACAGUUUAUCAAAAAGGACAAAACAAGAGAGGAAAAUUGGUGUUUAUUUGAUGUCAUGCAGACCUGCAGUGACCCUUACUGUUGACCAGCUUUGUCACAAUGGACAGGUUCCUUCGAGUAAGUCAUGUAUGGAAUGGGGACGAUCCUUCAUACCCCAGUAGAGUUCCUGUAGUGAGGUGAGUUCCAUGGAUCCCAAAUACAGAAGAAGGCCUGGUUUUCUUUGGAAUGAGUAGGCCCAUGGCCACAUGUCUAUGCGUGCGCUUUCUGUGUGGUCUCCUGGAAUUUGGUGAAGCUGUUGGCCAUUCCUUCCUCUGUCAUACCCUAACCCCCAAAGUCCCUCAGAGGCAGGGGACUGUAUUCUCUUAUCACUCACAUGCUAGGAGAGAGUCUGGUUGUGCGUGUGGCUAGUAAGUAAUUGUUAACAGUCAAUGCCGGCGGGUGGCUAAUGAAGAGGUGGGCAAAAUGAAGCAGAGGAUGUUGGGAAGGAAGGCUAGUGAAUGACAGGGCCUGAGUCUACACAAGGGACAGGUGUCUCUUGGACGUGUUUGGAGCAAUUCUGUGGAAAUGUUGCAGUAACAGAUUUGCUAAGGAAGAUAAGAUGAGAUGACAAGUGGGGAUGCUGGACUGUUGUAAUGUGGCAUGGACACAUGUAUGUUCAUGACUACACCACCUUGUUAGCCCUACCCUACCCUGAGUUCUGCCAACCAAACCUUGAGUAGCCUGGGUUUUCUUCCUUGUUUGCCAAGAAAGACAGGAAGCAGAAUUAUCAAAUGUCCAUGUUGGAAGUUUGCAGAAAAGAAGCAAGACAGCAACUAUGCAAGUGGCUAAUGCAUAAACAGUUGGCUGUUGGGAGAAGGCCUUGGCUGACUUCAGGAGGAGUGCUGUAAUGUAGAAGGUCAUCAUUUUACCUUUGUGAACCUUACCUUGCUGAUUUGAUGAGACUAACCAAAAAAUCCAGGAACCCGUACUAGAUUUUCUUAGAUGUUUCCAGAUAGUCCUGUGGGGUUUUUCAAUCUAGCUUAUUAAUAAGAUGAAUUAAAUUUUUAGAAUAUUAAACCAACCUUGCACUCUGGGGAGAAGUCCUCAUCUGGUCAUGGUGUAGCAUCAUGCCUUGGAACACACCUUGUAUUUAGGAGGGAAUCUGAUAAGAGAGACAUGGGAUUUGAGGGUCCCAGCAGUAGGCUGGCCAGAGUCUAAACAAGCUAGAAAGCUCAGGGAGGGACACCAAGGCUGCGCUUCAGUAGCAUCUCGAAGCUGCAAUCACUGAGAUUAUGAAGCGACAAGGAUGGCGUCAAGGUUUGCACUCCCCAGUUACUUGGUACGUGUGAUGUAGAGUGAAAACAAGCGGUGGCCUGUGUAUUCUGCUCAGGCUGUCCAGCCCUGCCUUCCUCGCCUGUCAGGAUGCCAGUCCCACAGAGCUCAGUCUGGCUCCGGGACACAAACUCCUUCCUCACCUUAAGUGCAUUCCUCUGUGUGUAUUCUUCCCUUUAGUUUUUAAUGAGUUCAUGUAGGGCAUGCCUGAUACAAACCCUCUACUCGUUAAGUAGCCAUUGAAGAGGCACUCCCCUGAGAAUUUCUGCUUAAGUUCAAGUUCAUGAUCUCCUAAUUUCCCCCAUAUCACAGUUCUUAAACAUCAUCCAUCCUGAGUUAGUGAGCUUUGCAUAGAGUUCUCUUAUGUAGGGUGCGUUUAGUGGUAUAUCUGAUCUUUGAUAUCAUAGUUUUGUGUUGCUAGUCUUGUAAAUCUAGAAAUAAAUAUAUUUCUAGUACUUUUAGAAUCCUAACUCAUGCACUGUACAAUACAAACUGCUUUUGAAGUCUCUUGAGUUGUCUGGUAAUUUAUCCAUGUGUGUGUGUUUUUAUUUUCUGUUGUUGAUGUAACUAAUGAUCUUUUAACUCCGGGUAAUGCUAAUAAUCCUCUUAUAUUGAAAAUGCGUAUUCGUAUUUUUUAAUUGAAAACCCUAAUAUUUUUUCAUGAUUUAACUCUGUUGGUAUACCACAGCAGAGUCCUUGUCAUUUUUGAAUGGUUUUUUCGUGGCAGGGCUAUAGCUGAGUGUCUGUGGUUCUUUUGAUGCUGGGCACUGUGCUCCCCCCAUUUUAAUCAGUACAUGUAGGGUUUGUGAUUUCCAUUAGAUUUACUUCUUCCACACAAAAAUUUGAGAAAUUUGCAUAGAACAUAGAAUUUUUCUUUGUAAGAAUAAAUCAAGUGCUCACGUUUUGAAAAAUGGCAUUGCUUUUCUGACUUCUGAAGAAUCAAGUGAAGAUGGCUGCACAUCCCGACAAGGCAUAUACAUGUAAGGAGAAGUGAUUGCUACUUUGCUUUUCAGUACGAAGUUGGUAUUCAUUUUAUCUUUUAAGAUUUCUCUUUUUCUAAAACUAUAUUUAUUAUACAGCAUCUUUAACAUAUUUACUCCACCUCUUCUGUCUCAAUGCCUUUCAUAUCCUUCCCUUUCUCCCUACUCUCACCUGACAUUCUUGUUCCCCCUUUUAAAUAACCCACUGAGUUCAAUUUGUGCUGGGUAUGUGGCUAGCCACUAGAACUUAGGUGAUCUACAAGAGGCCAUGUUCUUCAAGAAGACAGACUCUCCCUUUCCCAGAAGUCCUCAGUUAGGACUGGGAGUACACUGUCCCCUCUUACCUCCAUGCUGAAAUGUUCAUGGCUUGAUCUUGUGCAGGACUUGUGCAGGCAACCUCAGCUGCUAUGAUGUCACAAAUUGUUUCCCUGUCCUGUCCAGAAGAAGGUCCCAUCUUCCUAGACCUCAGCUCCCGCUCUUCCCAUCCUCUGUUUUGUGAUGACCCUGAGUCUUGGAGCAGGGUGGCUUAGUCGUCCCGCCUGUGACUGAGCACGCAGCUGACACCCAUCCUCUCCACCUUCACUCACUGUGAUUAAGAGGAUUAUUGAGACAAAAUACUUUUGACACUGGAGUUGGCUGUUUCACCAACACUGGGGCCAAGAUGGAUGUCUUGGAUGGGUUGACAAGGCCCUAAGUAAGCCCAGUGGGUUCUCCUUUCACAAGAGAACAUCCCUGUGUUGGUCCUUCACCCAUAGCAAAUGGCUUUGCCCGAGUCAUAAAUGCUAUGAUAAUUCUCUAGAAAAUACUUUCUUAUUUCUGCUUUUCAAAGGUAUCCUUCUGUAAAUUAGAACAUUUAGCUCAUUGCAUCCGCAACCUCUAUUUCCUGACUCCAAAGCUUUUUCCAAUUCUGAAUUCCAGCUCUGCUCCCCAGCUCUUAGCGUCUUUACAGACACACGGAUUUUUGUUGACUCAGCAUUUUGAUCCAUUUACAGUCGCUAUUGUCAUUGCUCAAAUUGUCACAGUUUGGCCAGAGGGACCUUGUGUUGAGCUGCCUCCAGGCCCUUUUGUCAUGGCUGUUAAUCUUCAGAGGCUCAGUGCUCUGACAAUAAAAGGAGCUGUUCUCAGCUCCCAACGACCUGAGGUCAGCUUCUUUGUUCAGGAUGGGGAACUGAGGCUGGGAACAUGGCUGCAUUGUGAUAGCUAAUAUAGUUAAUCUUGCUGGUCAGGGGCAUCAUGGUGCAGAGGACCUGGGCUCAUCUAAUGCCAUAGCCUUUACAUGUGCCUGCAUGGGUUGUCCUCUUCUUCCUAUGCCUUCUCUUCCCUGCCACACCUGACCUGUUCAUCUGUGAGUGAAGCGUAUGACACCUUCCCUCCUUUGUCACUAAGUUCUGGUGUAGGCGCUGUUGUCGUAUUUGUGUCCAUUUCUGGGGGGUUCUUCACAGAGUGAGGUGCUAUCCUGUCCCUCGGUCCCAGGGUAUCAUUCUUUUUCAUAUUUUCCCCAUUUGAUAAACUCAAGGGUGUAAUAUUGACUUAGUGAGUAGGAGUCACUGUGUAAGAAUGUUGCCAGCACCGGAGUGACUCAGUAGAGGUAUGACUGUGCUUUUAAAUUUAAUAUCAAGACCUGCCGCCUGACAAAACAUAUAAAUGACAGUGAGAUAAAAUAUUUGAAAUGAGAACUGCCCUGGAGAGGUGAAGCUAUUGUGUGGCAGUGUGCACAGUGGGCACAGUAGAACGCAAGCAAGGAGGUACGCUUUUCUGCAAAAAUUUAAAAUAAAAUUUAUAAAACAUCAAAUGAGUUUUUUUUAACCUGAGAUAUUCCUGGAAAAUUCCAAAACUUGCUCUCCUCCUUCUUAAAAAACAAAAUAAAAAGUGCUCACCGAAACAGACAAGAAUGUUAGUAGUGCUUAGCAAGGAGGUAUAAAUAAGAAUGGCCUCUCAAGAGCUCUAGUGAUCUAGAGUAGAGGUCCUCAGCCUUCCUCAUGCUGACCCUUUGACAGUUCCUCAUGUUGUGGUGACCACCAGCCAUAGUUAUUUUGUUGCUACUUCGUAGCUGUAAUUUUGCUACCGUUAUGAAUCAUAACGUAAAUAUCUGAUAUGCUGGAUAUCUGACAUAUGACCUCUAAAGGGGUCACAACCCACAGGUUGAGAACCACCAGCUUAGACAAAGCAAGGGGACGUGGACUGGGCUGCUGAGCUUCAGGGUUGCUCAGCCCAGCUAGUGCUUUGAGAAUAUCAGCUACCAGCAUUGGCGUGUUUGCAAGCCAACUGGAGAUGCAGACUAGAGGGUCCCAUUGCAGGCCUCUGGAAUCAGGCUCUGCAUUUUAAUGAGACUAGAAUAUUCAAGUCUGCGAUGAUGUAUCCUUUGCUCUGUUGCUUUGAGCCCUGCUCAUUGUUCUGUGUUGGCAUCCCUUCCAGGAAGCCCUCCUCUCAACCCCCUGCCUCUUCUGGCGCAGCAGUAUUUUGUCUGCUGUGUUGGCAGCAUCUGUCCCCUCUGUCCUUCCCACUGUCACAACCUCCCUUUUGAAGUGCAGUGUCUGACAUGCUGAAUGUACUCAAUAAAUAUUUGCUGAAGAGAGCGAUAUCUUGGUCCUAGGGUAGUUCCUGGGUCUGCAUAGGAAGAGAAGCAGCCCUUGCCAGUAGGGCCUGCAUGUCUCUCAGUGCAGAUAUGCAUUUACCGGAGAGACUGUUAGGACCCUGAGUGCUGCUACCAUGAAUGUCCCAAGGUGACAAUGCAGGCAGCUUGAGUGGAGGCCUGACUGCCCACUGAGCCACUGAGUUUCUACCUUGCUCCUCUGAAGAGGCCUCCAGAAGAAGAGUCGUCCUGACUUGCUAAGUGCUGGGCUUGCACAUAGCAGCAGGUAACAGCUAGUUCAUCACAGGUAUCCUUUGAGCUUCCAGAAAAGACCCCUCUAAGUUCUGAAGACCACUUGCUUUGCUAUGUCACUAUCCUGCGCAGGAUCCUCCUCGUCAGAUCUUGGUCUGUUCCUGUGGUUCUGUGUGCCUCCCCCCAACCCAUUCUACUCUCUUGAACAAUAUAGGUACCUUAAAAAGCAACACGAAACUCAUUAAAUGAAUAUCCCUAAGGGUUGGAUUGUGGCCCAAAUGUCAAUACAUAUCUGGCAAAGAGAGGAAAUUAAAACUCACAUCAGUGUGUCUCAUCUGGAUCACCUCAGCGGCCUGGCAGAGAAGUCCCGGUGGCAAGGCUGUGUUCGGUGUAAAUAGCAGAAAGCCCCGUGGGCUCUAACCAAAGGUCCAUCCUGUAUGCCUGCUUCAUCUGGAAAGUUACUGUGCUUCGAGGGCCUCGGAUCACUCAUUGCUUAGGGUGGUGGGGGUGGGCUGGGCUAUUUCCCUUGAAUAUCUUCUACAGGAUAAAAGAGAAUAGUGGAGAUGUGUUGGCUUUCAAAUGCAGUAUCACUUUUGCAUCAAUGUCAAGGUCAGUUAGGAUGAUCCAUGCAGACCUUACCCCAAACCCAUCCCAAGCUGUUCCCAAGUUUUUCUCUCCCCCCCCUGCCUCCUCUCCCCCCCCCCAUUGCAUCUCUUCUUCCUCCUGACCUUCUCACCCUUCUCCCUCUCUGUCUCCAGUUCUCUGGAUCCAGUCUCUCAGUCUUCACCAGCCCCUGAGUCUCCAGGACCAUUGCAUGUUUGUGUGUAGUGGUAGCCUGCCCUCAUCCUAGCUGCUGGACUAUGUCUGUCUGGUCCCCACUGAGCCCCUUGUUCCCGCUCUGGUGGAUGCUGUGCCAUUGGGUGCAGGGGCUCCCCAGAAGUGAGUGGAGGGAGGCCUUGUGCCUCUGGGAAGCUUGGUGUGAAGAUGCUGUUUUCUCUUCAGAGUCAAAUCUGAAUUUUCUAGAGGCAUAAGAGAGAACAGCUCUGUCCUGGAAGGCUCGCUGAGCUCCUUUUGCUGGUAUAUGUUCAGCUGACUCCGGUGGCACACUAGCUUUGCGAUGUCGACACACAAAACUACCUAUCGCUCCCUAUCUGCAGGCAGGUCACUGCUAGGGCCAAGUUUGUGUUCCUGUUUUUUUUUUUUUUUUUUUUUUUUUUUUUGAGACAGGGUUUCUCUGUGUAGCUGUGGCUGUCCUGGAACUCACUUUAUAGACCAGGAUGGCCUCAAACUCAGAAAUCCGCCUGCCUCUGCCUCCCAAGUGCUGGGAUUAAAGGCGUGUGCCACCACGCCUGGCUAAUGUUCCUGAUUUUUAAGCUGAGACCUGCAAGAGUCUGUGCCUUAGCUCUAAGUGUGGAAUCUGAAUUUAUUUUCCUGAGGGAAUAACCAAAGCCUCUGUUGGAAAGUCAUUUGGAACUCACGUCCACAUCUAAAAUGUGGUGAUUCAUGAGUUGUGCAUUUAAGAGAGUACGGAGAAACUUCCUAAGCGCAUCAGUAACAGAGGUGCCUGCAGAGAGGCACUUGAAGCCUCCCUACCCACUGGAAGAUAGGCUCAUCGCUGUCAGAUUCAUGUAGCCAUUUCUUGAAAGUCUAGGAGAAAUAACCAGUGAAUUGUAGCUACUAAUUAUUAUCAGCUAAUGUCUUAAUUCCUUUUUUUUCCUGCCAUAACAAGAUACCCCAGGUGAGUAUAAAGAGAAGAGGUAUUCACUUCACGGUCUUGGAGGCUGAUUAGCCAAUAUUGAGUAUCUCUGGGUCAUCAUCUAUUAAUCUGAUAUUGAAGGGACUAAGUGUGAUCUCAUCAGAACCACACUGAUCUCUUUUAGGUAAUGCUCCCAUAACUGAGCCACGUCUCUGCUAGGUCCCACUGCCCCUCUGUGUAUCUUUACUGGGCACUACACACUGCUACCGAAUGAGCUACAUCCAAACCAUAAUAGUUUGUAUCAGCCACAGCUGUGACAAGCAUUUCCAUGUAACACAUGUCAUUUUUAGUGCUUAGAGCAAAAUUACUUGGAGUAAGUCUUGCAGGAGCUAUAAGUAGCAACUUUGGAGAGUGAAGCAGUUGGGGUAAGUCAGGGGUCGGCAGUGUUGCUUCUGCUUGGUGAUGUAUUAAGAUAGCGGAUAACACCAAACAACAUGCUAAGCCAAGGCGGUUCCACAUGAAAGAGGUUUAUUGUGAGGGGGAGACAAAAGAGUGGCAGGGGAGUAGAAGGGAAAGAGAGAAAGAGAGAGAGCAAGGAGGGGGUGUUCUCCUUAUUUAUAUGGAAAAUGACAUCACACAAGUAAGGGUGGGAGGUGAGCCAACUGGGUUCUGGGAUAUGGUGGUCGUUGGCUUGGCAACUGGUCUAGAGGUCGCAGGUCACCCUAUGAACUCAUAGGCUUGGAAUGUCCUGGUGCCAAUACUGGCCUUUGCCUCAGUCCUUUGUGCCAUGGGAUGAGGGCCUUGUUGUUGUUGGGUUCCUCCACGCAAGUGUGGUAACACUCUUGGACUAAGUGGUACCUCCUCUGAGUUCCUCUGGUCCUGCUUCCCAGGACCCAGCUGUUCUCCACAGGGUCUUAGAGGUAUUUUUGCUCUGGUUUCUAGCCAGAGCUACUGGUAUAGCACAGUGAUUGGAGGUCAGUUUGUGGUCUUAAUUUCCUUCUUCUUACAAACUGUGCAAGGAUGUGUGCUUCAGAACUCACUAGAGAAUAGGGAUAUACCCAAGGAAGAGAAGAGAUGCACAGACAUGGCCUCUGCUCUCAAGGACCAGCAUCAGUGGGAUGUGACUGAGGCAACUUGGUGGUGUGGAGUGGGGUCAGGAACUGGACGACCUGUAUCACUAUCUGGGAGAGCAAAGUCAGAGAUUCCUGACUUCGUUCUUUUACUUAUACAUAAUCAUUUUCUAUGAUAAAGUUAUUCAUCUGCCUUGUAAUAAAUAUCUUGUAAGAAAAGUCUAGAAAAAUGUAAAGGAGAGAACUCGGGCUGGAGAGGUGGCUGAGCUGGUAAAGUUUUUUUCACAAAAGCUUAGGGAUCCGAGUUCAGAUCUCUGCCACCCAUAAAAUAGCCAGGCUGGUGGCAGGCCGGUGACAGCUGCUCUUCUCAUGUCCUGGAAGCAAAAUAGACAAGGGGAAGUGGCUGAGUCACCCUGAGUGACCUCCAGGCUGUCCCUUAGGCCCCAUCUUCUAAAGGUUCCACUACCUUCCAGGAGCACCAUCCUGUGGUCCAGGCCUCAGCCCCUAGUAAGUCACUUACGUCUAAAUGGUAUCUGAAGGAAUGCUGGAUUCUAGGCUUGCUCCUCCUUUGUGGCCUCUGAGGAGGCCUCCUUGGCUGCCUUUGUAUCUCUAGGGAACAACCUGAGAUGAUGAACAGGGUGUGGGAGGGUCCCAGGAUCCCCAGUGUGAAAGCUAUUAUCUGGCUGUCUGUGAGGGUGGUGGCAUGGAGGAGAGGCAGGGUCUUCUGUUGCCCCAGGGGUCCUCUUGAUGUCCUUACUGGAUGAAGGUGAAAGCUGCAGUCCUCAGGGGAUUCCUCAGCGAGGAGUGGGCUUCUUUUCCUGUCCUCUGGAAGCAUCACCCAAACAGAGUAUGAGCCUUUGUGCUGCAGAAGCACCCAGCAGUGAGCAGCACUAAUAAACAUUGCUGCUUCAGCUAGAGGAGAGAAUGAAGAGGCCUCAGUCCUCCCUCCAUGUGGGCUUCUGUUUUCAUUAGCUUUUAACAUGGUCUUAUUGAUUCGCUCGAAUCCCCAAACAAGAGGACAUUUUAAACUGCUGGUGUUAAUUUUUAGUCGUGUUAGAAGUAAUUAUUUGGGUGUCUUGAUGACUGCACCGUCAGACAAAUGCUUUAGCACCCUGAAUUCUCAAUCCUUUUGUCAAAAGCUGAUGACUUUAAGAUUGUUUUCCCCCCACAAGCUUUAAUUAAAAACAACAGGGUGAUAGAAUUGGAUUUUUAAUGAACUAUUCAAUCAAAAAGAAAAGUAUAAUCAUUUAUAUUAGAAAUAAUAUUCCUUGUAAUCAGGCAUGUUAAAUAUAAGCCUUAUAGCCAUUUGGUGACUUUUGGAAAAGUUUUAUUAUUUCCUCCUUCCCCUCCUCCUCGUCCUCUUCCUUUCUUGUUUUUGAAAACGGCCUUAUGUUUUCGCCCAAGCUGGCCUGGGAGUCACUGUGUAGCUCAGAUCUCUCUUGGGCUUGUGGUUCCCCCUGCCUCAGCCUCCCAAGUGCUGGAAUUAUAGAUCUGAACCACUAUGCCUAGCUUAGGGUUUUGUUUCUUUUUUAAUUUUUUAAUUGCGUAUGUAUGCAUGUGGCUGCUUGCAUGUGUGUACAUACAUGUGCAAGUCAUGGUAUAAUUGUAGAAAUCAGAGGACAGUUUGUAGGAGUUUGUUCUCUCCUACUGUGUGAGUCUUGGGCAUUGAACUCAGGUCCUGAGACUUGGUGGCAAGCACCUCUACCCUCGGUGCUCUCUUGCUGGUCAGCUUUUACCCAGUGAGGUUUCUCACUAGCUUCCCCCAAGUGACUCUGUCUGUUUUCAUCAUGAACUCAACAUCUCUUCAUGACAAGAAAAGCCUCUUAAUGUAUUUAAUUAAUUUAAAUACUUAAUCUUAGUUAUUUAAUAUUUACAUGUGUAACUCAAGACAAUCAAGGCCAUAUAUGACAAACCUACAGCUAAUAUACUGCCCAGAAAGAAGGGGAAAGCUUUUUCUUUAGCAACUGGAAUGUGAGGAAGGUAGUGGCUUUUGUUACUUACUUCUCUUUAACAGAGUGCUAAGCGAGAGGAGGAGAGAAAAGUUGUCAAAGCUGGGAACGGCAAAGGUAAAUCUUUCCUGCAGGUGGUAAGAUCUUACACAGUGAGCAUUCCAAAGACAAUAAAAAGUUAGUAGCCUUUCUGUAUACUAAUAGAAAAAAUGCCUGAGAAAGAAAUUAGUGAAUCAAUCUCAUUUAUAAUAAUGACAAGAGUGCCCUUGUAAAUUUAACCAGGGAAGUUUGUCACCUCUACAUUUAAAACUGUAAAACAUCAAUGGAAGAAAUGGGGGUGGGAACACCCAACAGAGAGCUAGCCCAUGUUCAUGGAUUGGAGAAGUGGAAAUUAGUAAAAUCACCUCAUUAUCCAAGCGUGCUACAGAUUUAGUCAAUCACUAUUAAAAUAACAAUGGCUAUAUCCACAGAAACUGGCAAAAUAUGUAUAGAAUCAACAAAGAUCCCAAACAGCCAAAGCUUAAGUAAGAAGAAUAAAGCUGGAGGCGUCACUCUGCUUUUCUUCAAAUUACAGUAAGAUACAGUGUUAAGAACGGUGUGGUGUAGCCUAAAAACAGGCACAUAGACCAGCAGAACAGAAUAGGAAGCCUAGAAAUUCAUCCACAGUUUUACAACCAGUUGACUUCAGACAUCCAGUCACUGUUUUUCUUCUUUUAGAAAAAAAUGUUGUCAGAGCCGAAAAAAAGAUUCAGCAGUUAACAACAGCCCUGGCUGUUCUUCCAAAAGACCUGGGUUCCUUCCCAGAACCCACAUGGUGGCUCACAGUGGUCUGUAACUCCAGUUGCAGGAUUAGAUACCAGAUACCCUCCUCUGGCCUCCACAGCACUGACACGUGGUACACAGGCAUACAUGCAAACAAAACACCCUUACACAUAAAAUAAAAUUAAUAAAUCCUAAAAGAGAAUGGAAUCCACUUAUCUGUAGGACAGUGAUGAAAUCUUAAACAGUUGUGGUGUAGAGUGCAUCUGCCUGUCUGUACCGCUAUUUCACCCGACUGGCUGACCACUGAGCUCCUGGAAUCAGCUUGCCUUUGCCCCCCAGCACGGACAUUACAGCCACAUGCCACCGCACUCUGUCUGCUUUUGUUUUGGAUGCUGGUGAUCACACCCAAGUCCUCAUUGGUGUAUAAGCAAGCACUCCACCCACCAAGUCACCUGAUAAUUAACAAACCAAAGAGAAUAUUAUUGGAUGGAACCAGAAGUUCUUUAUGUUGGUUCUGUGAGGUGGUUAAGUUAAAUGCAAGGAAGGUCUAGAGUUUGUAUGGUAGUUGACAUUCUCCUGUGGGGUUCCUGUCCUGUGCAUUUUUUGACAUUUACAGCUGCCUUAGGACAGGGAGUUCUGAGGAUCCUCAUAGAUGGUUACUCAGGCUGCCUACCCUGGUAGCUUUAAUAGCCCGCUGUCGAUUUGUGCCCCUUUUACAUAGGCAAAUGCUACUUUCUAUGUCUAGUUUAUAUCUCUGCCCUGAAGUUGCAUGGGCAGUAUCUUUAGCUGGACACAUGUUAACAUCCUUCUCAACCCCUUUCCUGGGGUGAAGAGUAUCAGGUUUUUCAGUCUGGAACACUUGAAAUUUCACACAGGGUCCCUACGUCUCUGAUGCUGGAACUGGCUGCUUUUGGUUCUCUGCAUGGCCAGUGCAAUGUCUAGGUGCAGGAUGUGUGAGUAGGACUCUCUGUCUCUUCCCUCUGAAGGCUGGGCUCUAUGCCGAGGAGAGUAGUGUGCAAGGCUGGGUUUCUCUACUUCCUAGAGAUGAAUGUAGCCCUGCUGGGGUGUGGCCCAUUAAGGGAGAGGGUAAUAGAGUUCCAGUCUCCAGUACUUUGUAUGUGAGGAAAUGUAGCUGCACUUUCUGCCUUCACCUGCCUUCCUCUGCCCUGUCCCAUUUUCCUUUGUCGUAUUCCCCCAUCCCACCCCUUUCCCCCUUUCUGGUCCAUGCCACGUGCAUCCACCUGUGGACUCUGGCCCCAGAGGUGGGAAGGUAUCUUGUCCUUGGUGCAGUAAUGAAGUGUGCUUUUCACUAGGAGCUCUUAUUCAACCCUACACCCAUUUUGGGUAUCCUCUGACUGCCACAUAAGCUAAUGCCAUAGCAGUGCCAGAGCGGAGUUGAGAGCAUAAUAGGGCGAUAGCCACAGCUGGUGGAAGAGACAUACAGUAUAGCCAACAGAUGAGUGGGCCUUUCUUGUUAAGGAAUCUGUGUUAAGGACCAGAAAGGCAUUGCCAUGAGAAGGCAUGGCAGGUGGUGAUGACAGACGUGGGCAGGCUGUGUCCCUGGCAGACUGCUGUUUGUCUCUAGGACUGGGCAGGGGUUAUCUGAUUUAUGAGGUGUUGGUUUGAAUGAAAAUGCCCCCUUGCUGUAAGCAUGUAAGCUUGAAUGUCGCAAGCAUGGUGAGUUUGAAUGUGUGGUCCUGAAUUGAUGGAACUAUUUGGGAAUGAUUAGCAGACAAGUUCUUAUUGGAGGAGAUAUGUCAUUGUGGGGUCAGCUCAGAGGUUUCAAAGCUCAUGCCAGUCCCAAAAUUCUUAGCUGCUGCUUCAGGGUCAUGCCUGCCUGCCCGUCUGCUUGCUGCCAUGUUCUCCACUGUGAUGGUGAUGGGUUACAAUGCUCUAGACCCAUGAACCCCCAAUUAAACAUUUUAUUUUAUCAGUUGCCUUUGUCACGGCAAUUGAAAAGUAUCUAAGAUUUGUAUUUUCUGUGUACGUGUUUUAUUUUAUAAUAAGUAGCUUGUAGAUGUAAUUAAAGCCAAAAGAACAAACACCUCAAUCAGUAAGUGGGAAAAUGAACCAAACAGAGAGUUCUCAAAGGAGGUACAAGCGGUCAGUAAGUGCAAUAAAAAUAUUAAACCCCUUUAGACAUCGAAAUGCAAAUCAAAAUCACACCUAGCUUCUGUGUCAGCCCCAUCAGAGUGACUGGCAUCAAGGAAACAACUGGAAGCAAAUGCCGGAGGGGAUUUGUGCAGUCUCUUAAUUGCUGACUAAAUGGAGAUCAAUAUGCAGGUUCCUUCAAAACAAAACCUAGAACUCCCAAAUGACCCAUGUAAGCCCCUCCUGGGUGUGUCAGGAAAGGAACCGAAGUCAGCAGACUGCAGAGACACCAUACCCCAUGGCCAAAGCAUGGAGCCUGCCUGGGCGUCUGCUUACAUGCGAAUGGAUAAGGAAACAUAAAUGUGUGUGUAGAUGGAGUUUUCUUCUGCCUUGAGGACAGUUUUCUUCUGUCACUCUAGGGAUAUUGGAUGAAAGCGGCGAUCAUCAUAUUAUGUUAAGUAAGCCAGAUUCAGAAUUAUAAACACCGUGCUUUCUCCCACAUGUAGUAGCUAUAUUUAAGACAAACCCUGAGAGUAGGAGAGGGACAGUUAGCAUAGGUGGGUGGUGGGGAAAAUAAGUAAAUAGAGGCACACUCUCCUGUGAGUUAUGCCACUGGGACUUUGUCAGGAUGGCAUCCACUCUGGAGAUCGCUUUUGGUAGUAAGACCAUCUUCAUAAUAUUAACUCUGCCAGUCCUCGGCCUGAUGACUUCUUCAGUUUAUUUCUUCAGUUCUCACUGUGGAGAUCUUUCACUGCCUUGGUUAGGUUUAUCCCUGGGUAUAUUAUUUCUAAAACCUACUGUGUCUCUUGAAUAUAUAUGUGUCCUAGCUUCUAAUUUUAAUUUUCAUAUGUAAAUUUUUGUGGGAAUGCAUAUUAAAAUAGGUCAUGGAAUGAGAAAAGGGGUCCAUGAGAGGUGAAAAACAGAUUUUAAGGAGGUGAGUGGGAAGGGCAGUAGGAGACAGGUGACAUGCAAAUAAUGAGGUGCAAAGUAUUGUGAGGAGCUAUGGGGGAGAAGGAUGGCCCAUAAUCAACCAAAUCCGAAGUAUGUGUGUGAAGGCCAUUUUUCAGACAAAGAAAAUAUUUUAAAAGAGGUAAUUAAUUUCAGAAACUUACCAAAUAUAGACAUGGUUCUCAAAACAUGAAUACUGCCUCUGCCAGGCAGAAGCCAGGGCAUCUCUGGAGCUUUCUCUCAUGUGCUCUGACUGCAUUCGGAAGAACUGUGUAAUCCUGAAGGCAGAAGCAGAGUACCAGGCCAUAUCUUGGGUUAAGAAAGCCAACACUUGCAUGUUGAAGAGGGCACUUUCUGCAGUCUCCCAGAGCCAUCCACCUUGCUGUGCCCAACUCGUUGAGACCUUUCCCUGCCCUUCUGCUUUUCCCCCCUGGCUUCGGAGUUCUCCGGUGGGUGAGGGUGACCUUACAUGGUUGGUUCAGUUUCUAACUCUCGGAAGCAUGCCCAUUCUCCACCUGGUUCUUUAUUUGGGGACAUUCUCAGUUCAGCCCCAAACUCUAGGAGCUGCUCUGCACCAUGAGAGGUAUCAGGUAGACACUGCUCAUCUCUCUCCCAUUCCUUUGGUUAUGUCCUUGAGCACAUGGCCUCUGUAUUCCUCCCUGUCUCUGUCUGCCCAUCACCCUAUCUGUUAACCUGUCCAUCUGUCUCUCUGUCCCUCCAUUCUCUGCUUCUUCAGUCAGUUGUCCAGGUUAUGGGGAGGUAAGAAUAAGGAUGGGUUUCCUUGCACAGUAUCUACGUGCAGCCUUCUACCAAGUAUUCCAUUUCGUCUGGGAAUGUACACUGUUAGGAAGACAUUGUUCUAUGAUUUUUAUUACUUCCUGGUGCUCAGCACAGGGUCUGGUACCUGGUAUGCUCAGCACGUCCUGUUUGGAUUUAAGAGAGAGUAGAAGCUAGAGUAGAAAGGAACACCGCCAAUUCUGCAGCGUCUCCCCCCCACCCCCCGCCCCCCGCCCUUGCCCUCCAUGUACCAGAAUUGUGAGUGAGAAAUGGAGUAAGCUGAUGCGCAUGGAGGCUUUUGGUUUAUCUUGGAGGGCAAUACUGAGCUGGUCACAUUGCUCUGGACACAGUGCUGAGGAGCAGCAGUUCACUGGGGCCUGUAGGUUAGGAUGGCUGCAGGGGGAGGGCUGGUGGGCAGACUGUAGCCGAAGGAGUGCCUGACACAAGGCCCGAUGGUGUGGGUAAAUAUUAAGGGGGGUCCAAGAGGCCCGAUUGCCAAGAACUUGCGAUUUUGAAAUUUGCAUUUUCUUUAAGCGCUUAGGUUUAAUGGUCAAAUGGAAUAAUGAUUUACUCUGCCAGGUCCCAGGAUUCUUUACUGGAGAAUGAAAUGGAAAAGCUGUGAGCAGGCAGCUGACAAACUACUUAACGAAAUGACACUUUUCAGCAGAUCAAUGUGUAGGAGCUGGCUUCAGAGUGGGUAUGGAGGAAGGCUGUGCUGAGUAGGACUUAGCUGAAGGGGUGCUGGCCAUGACGCUGUGGUCUCUGACUGUAAUGACUGGGGAAACAGCCAUUCUCAGAUAUACUUGUGAAAGUGAAUUUAAAGUAAAGGGCAGUUAUUUUUAGAAGGCAACAUUCCUAAGCUAUAUUUCUUUAGGUUUAGUGAAAAUGUGCAGAAAGUAGAUUAAUGGACCUUGUUCUUGGGUGGAAAGAUAGGCUUCGAAGCUUGUCUACUUCAGCCUGGAGACCAUGAUUUAAAGAUAUUCUCUCUCUCUCUCUCUCUCUCUCUCUCUCUCUCUCUCUCUCUCUCUCUCUUCCUCUCUCUCUCUCUCUCUCUCUCUCUCUCUCUCUCUCUCUCUAACUCUCUCUCUCUGAUGUAUUAUGCACUAGAGACCUGGGCAUCAAGAUAUUCAGGUCCUCGAAACAAGGAAGGUAAAAUCAGAGUGAUUAAUUGAACCCGAAGUCAAAGUGACUCCCGGGAUAAAGUUUCCCAGUCUGUGGUGGUGGCUUCUAGCAUAGAUGGAGAGUAGGAGAAUACAGACUGCAGACCUAGUCAUGGAGGCCGAACCUGAGGUUGGAAGGAGAGCCUGUAUUUCAGAUUUGAGAAUGGCAGAUAUGAAUGCCAAGGCCUAGCUCCUUGGGGUCAGGAGGUCAGUGCCACCCCAAAACCUGCCGGACACUCUUCUGGCCUUAGACACAUAGACAAUUCAAUCCACAUGAAAAGCAUACUCCAGGGGACGGAGGUUCUGGGAGACAGACUGCCAUUCUGGAGAAGGCACGGGUGCAGCAGACAGGCGAUCUUCCCAUCUCAAAUAGGAAGCUUCUGAGAGAUCUUCUACACAGUUAGAAUGGCAACCACAGCAGGCCGGGGCAGAGAAAAAACACAGAGGGCUCUCAAGUAGGAAAAAAAAAAGCAACAUUAUUGAGGCAAAAAUAUUUAAGAUAGUGAUGGGAUUGAAGAGGAGGUGGGAUACAGUGGAGAAAGAGAAGCUGGGUGAGUUGGGGGUGGGUAUAUCUCAUGAACACUGAGGAGUUGGCCUCAGUGGGAAGAGUGAGGCAGGAAGAAAAUAGGAAAGGGACAUUAAGAGUGUUCAGUAGGGGGCUCUGAUAUAUGUGUGGCGAGAGUGCUAGCAACAGAGGGGAGAGGAGAUCCUGGAGAGAUAAUAUUCAAAGUGAUGGCUGAGAAUUAGCUUCAAAACUCAGUAUGCCCAUCAAGCUUGGGCUUUUACAAUCUAAGGAGAGUGAUCAUCCCUCAGAUCUAAGAAGUUUACCAAAUCCCAGAUUAGAUGAAUGCAGAGAAAAUGGCCUUACAGCACAGCAUAAUCAACGUUCAGACAGCCCGAGUAAAAGGAUGCACCGCUGGGAACAUAGAUGGUGAUGGCUAUGGAUGCCUUUCAAGAAGCAGGAAACAGGAAGACGUGUGGUAAAAGAAAGCAGCAAUAAACCUGGGAUUCUGUACCCAACACGCAGGCAUCCGCAGCACAGGCCUGGAGACAUGGCUUAGCUAAGAGCGCCUACUGCUCUUCCAGAGGAUCCCAGGUCUGUUCCCAGCACCCACAUCAGGCUGUCACAUCUGGGUUCUGCAGGUUCUGCACCCAUGUGUACAUAUCUCCCAUCCCAUACACAUAAUUAAAAAUAAUAAGAAUAAAUCCUUAAAAAAUACAGAAGGAAAAGGAAAAAGAGAUGGGUCAGAUAACAAGGUAGUAGAACUAGACCUGAUUAUGAAUAUCAUUAUGUUAAAUGUAAGUAGUCUAAAACUGUAAUUUAAUGGUAGGGACUAUGAUAUUGGACCUAAGUCAGAUACAUGCUAUUUAUAGCCAACAUAAAUUGUAAAAGCCUACACUAAGUAUAAAAGGAUUGGCAAUGAUAUACCAUAGAAACUCAUAAUAUGGAAAUGAGGACAUAUUCACAUAAGAUGAAAUAAAGUAGAAUUAUUACCAUGGAUAAAGAGGGGACAUUUCAUAUUAGUGAACAGGUCAGUUUUUCAGGGUGAUAUGUCAUUCUGAAAUGUGUGUCCAUAUAAGAACAGCUUCCAGAUGUCUGCAGCAAGGAACCAGCAAUGCUGGAGUGAUAAACUGGUCACAUGCACAAUGUGUGUGUGUGUGUAUGUGUGUAUGUAUGUGUGUGUGUGUGUGUGUGUGUGUGUGUGUGUGAUGCUUCUUCUCUUAGUUAUGCUAGAUCCAGUAUGGUUUUUAUAAAGAUACAGGAGACUUGAUUAAUACUCACAACCAGCUGGAUCUAGCUAGAUCACACAACAACAAAACAGUACCUUUAAGCCAGGCUGGCACUGCACACAAAUGUUCAAGAAGUUAGUCCACAUUUAUGACUACAAGUCAAAUCCUGAUAUAUAUAUUUUUUAAAAUUAACAUUUAAAUUACAUUUACAUUUAAAUUACAUUUAUGAUAUGGUGUAUAUUCUGUGACCACACAGGGUUAAAUUAAUAGCCAACAACAUGAAGAGGUCUUAAUAAGCCCUACACAUUUGGAAGUCAAGCAUCAAACCUCUAAAUCACUAAGGCUUGCAAAAAGAAACUACCAGGGAAAUUUGAAAAUGUGAAUCAAAUGAAACUAAAACCAAAAUGUCUUAACUUAUAGAUGGGUCUACAGUGUUGCCCAGAGGGACACUUACAGCUUAAGAUGUUUAAAUUAAGAAAGAACAGUGCUGUAAAAUUAAUGAACUCUUUCAUACCUUAAAAAACCAGGAAAGAUGAAAAAACAACAAAAGCUGGUCAUGAUGGUGUAUAUCUGUCAUCACAGAACUCUGGAGGGGAGGGAGGCAAGAAGGGUCUAAGGUCAGAGCUGAGAAGGUAUUCCGAGGAACAUGGCAAGACCUUGUACCUAGGAAGGCUGGGAGAACGAAAGGAUAUUAAAUAUAGCAAAAAAGGAGACAACAAAGGCCAGAAUCAAUGAAAUUAAAAGCAAACAACAGAAGCAAAACUCCAGUAAAACAAAGAAGUUUCUCACUGAAAAGGUCCAGUUCGAGAAGAUCAGAUAACAACUGGCCUCCAUGGGCAUUGCACGGAUGUGCACAUACGUACAGGAAGGCAGAGCACUCACGCAGCAGCCAAUCAGCCUAAGGGCACACAUGAUGUGACCAUUUCAGUAGAUGCUGGAAAGGUAUUUCAUAAAGCUCAACGUGUCUUCAUCGUAAAAAUCAGGGUGACUUCAGGACUAUGUGACACAUGCCUCAAAAUAAUCAAGGCUAUGUACAGCACACUUAAAGCUAACAUUUAUCGUAAAUGGAUAGAAAUUGAAAGCAUUUCUGCUGAAAUCAAGAGUGACUACCCUAUCAUCUCUUAUUUCAUAGAUACUUAAAGACAUAGCUGUAGCAAUUAGGCAAGAAAAAGAUAUAAAAGAAGGAAAAAUAAGCCAAUCUAUCUGUAUUUGCAGACACGAUUCUUUACUUAGAAGCUCCGGAGAGGCUGCUAGAAAGCUCUUGGACUUAAUAAAUGUUUAUAGUAAAGUUGUGCUCCUGGCCUGAGUGCUGUCUUCCUUUUUCCAUGAGAGCAAAGAGGAGGAAGAAGUGAAUGUGCAAGAGAAUUAAAAAACGAGGCAGGUCCAUGCAAGUUAGCUAUGCAGCCACAGAGGCCGAAAAGCUGAAAUAAGGAUGUGGAGGCCAGGACACGGGUCCACGUUGUUGGAAUAUAUGUUACUGUCAGUAUUAAAUCUCAGUGGAUAUGGAACUUCACCAUCUGACCACCAAGGCCCCUCUGAGGAGUUGCCUUUACAUAACCAAAACGGUCCCUGUUGGCCCUCUAACCUGAUCUGAGGCAUUCUGGACUAGUUUUGUUCAAAUUUACAGCCAAUUGUAACUUGUGUACAAUAAAUCAUGUCUUUUGCUGUCUCAGCUGAAAAAUCCAAAAAAAAAAAAGUUGCUGGAUACAAAAAUCAGUGUUAAAAAUAACAACAUCUACAGUAAUCUUCUUGUAUAUCAUCAUUGUACUUUCAAAGAACGAAAUCAGAACAAUAUUCACCCCCCAAUACUUAUAUAUAUAUUGAGAUAUAUAUGAACCAAAACCAAGAAAGGAAGUCAUGGAAGACACUGGUUGAUGGGAAGACCAUCCAUGCUCCUAGAUUGGCAGAAUUACUAUUGUAAAGAAGGCUGCACUACUAACAUUUAUCUAGAGAUUUAAUGCAAUACCUGACAGAAUUCUGAUGUCAUAUUUGACAGGUCAUAAAAAAAAAAAACCCAAAACAAUACAAGGAUUCAUAUAGAAUCACAAAAGACCACAGAUAGCCAAAGCAAUCCCAAGGAAGAAAAACAAUACAGGGCACUUUACAAUCUCUGACCCUAAAUUAUACUACAGAGCUAUAGUGAUAAGGAUAGCCUGGUGGUGGCAUAAAAAUAGGCAAGUAGAUCAAUGAAAUAAAAAUAAAGGCCCUAGAAAUAAAAUGACAUUUUAUUUCUUUUUUGACAAAGUGGGCAAACAUUAGGAGGAAAAGGUAGCCUGUUCAACAAAUGGUGCUGGAAAAACUGGACAGCCACCUUCAGUAGAAUGAAAUCAGAUCCAUAGCUAUGGUGGUUGAAUAAGAAUGUCUCCCCCCCCCCCCCCCGCUCAUAUAUUUGAAUGCUCUGUCACCCUUGUCACCGGGGAGUAGCACUAUUUGAGAAGGAUUAGGAGGUGUAGCCUUGUUGGAGUAGGUGUGGCCUUGUUGGAGGAAGGGUGUUGAUGGGGUAGGUUUUGAGGUUUCAGAAGCCCAUGCCAGACCCAGCCUCACCCUUUCCCAUGAUGGAUAAGGAUAUAGCUCUCAGCUACUGCUUCAGUGCCAUGCCUGCCUAAAUGCCGUCAUAAAUCUCUGAAACUGUAAGCCUGUCCCAGAUUAUCUGAUUUACUUUGAAGAGUUGCUGUGCUUAUGGUGACUCUUCACAGCAACAGAACAGCGACUGAGAUCUUUUUACCUUGUAUAAAAAAAUUCAAUUCAAAAUGGAUCAAAGACCUCAAUAGAAAACAUGAAACUCUGAAACUUCUAGAAGAAAAUCUAGGAUUUUCUUUAAGACAUUGGGCUAGUCAAGAGCUUUCUGAAUAGAUCUCCAACAGCAUAGGGACUAGCCCUGAGUAUCAACAGAUGAAACUGUAUGAAAAUUAAAAGUCUCCAUAUAGCAAAGGAAACAAUGGAGCAAGUAGACAGUGCAUAGGAUGGGAGAACAUCUUCAUCAGCUAGAUUGUAGUCAAGGGGCCAGUACCCAGAAUUUACAAAAAUUAAGUACCAAGGAAUCAGUAGACCUAAUCAAUAAAGAACUAGUGAACUGAAUAGACGGUUUUUUAAAAAGGGAGAGAUGAAUAACUAUUUUAAAAAGUGUUCACUAUCUCUAGCCAUCAGGCAACUGCUAGUCAGAGUGUUUUGAGAUCCCAGCUCACCUCAGGCUAUCUUAACACUAUCCAUAACACUAUCCUUAAGGAACCUGAGAACCAUGUUAGGAGGCCUGGUGUUCUUUCAGCAGUGAAAUUGGACGAAGCUAAUUAUCAAUAUGCCCAAAACAAACAAAACAAAUGAACACACCAUCUAUUGUUGCUCAUUUGUACAUAAACAUUGAUUUGAAAAGGACCCUGGAUCUAAAUAUUAAAGACAAAGCAAUGACAAAGGCGAAGUUCUUGGAAGAAAACACUGAAGGAAAUCUGGGCCCAGGAGAGGUGUGUGUAUGUGCGUGUGUGCAAGAUUUCCAAGAAUAUAAAAACAUUGAUUUAGAUAAAUGACAAAUUAAGUGUUGCCAACACUAAGCAUUUUCCAAAAAAUAUUUUUAAAGGAAUGAAAAGGUGAGGCUUGGCUUUGAAGUAGAGGUUGGGAAAAUAUCUGUCUAUCGAAGAAAUCCUAUUAGAAAUAUAUACAGAUCUGUCACAUAAGACAGAGAACCUGGAUUUACAGACAGAUAAAAACUUCUAAUAGCUGCAUCACCAGAAACGAUAACAGGGCUGACAACUAAGUAAUGGAAAGAUCACCAGUGUCAUUUAUCAGCAAAGAUAGACAAACUCAGACCAUAUUGAGAUGCAUCAGGAAACCAGAUAGGACAAUGGAAUGGCUGGAAUGAGGACAUGGGGUUACUCCUGUGUGGCUGAGACUGUGGAGGGACUGAAAGGCCUACAUAUCGUUAAUGAGCAUAUAAAAUGGCACACCUGUUUUUGAGCCGUGUUUAGACAAUCAUUACAUUAGACUUUCACUCCCUCGGAUCCAACAUCCUCAGAUGUUUUCUCUAUUUAAGUGAGAUGCAAGUUCAUCUAAGGAUGUCAUGGAUGUUCAUAGCAACUUUCUUAGUGAUUGAACCAAACUGGAAACAACAAAUGGCCUGAACAGGUGGAUGGGUAAAGAGGCUAUAACAUACCUCUCCAGCAGAGUACUACUGGGCAAUAAGAAGAGGUAGUCUGUCCAGCAAUUCAAAUGACUCUCAAAACCUGCACCCUCUGCUGCAGAAGCCAUAGGCAAAAAUAACACUGUAUUUGUUUUUCUUACCAUCAUGCUACAGCCUCAGUCACCCUGAGAAGAGGGAACAUCUAUUUAAAAAUUGUCUUUAUCAAAUUGACCUGUGGUCACAUUUGUGAGGGAUUGUCUUGAUUAUGUUGUUAAUGUGGAAGGGCCCUGUCCACUGUGGGCAGCACUGUCCCUAUGUAAGUGGGCAGCUGAGAAAGAGCCAGGAGCAAGCAAGAUAGUGAACUAACAAGCAAUAUUUCUCCAUUGUUCCUGCCUCCGGUUUCUACCUUGUGUUCUUGUCCUGACUUCCCUCAAAGACUGACUAUGAUCUGGAAGCGUAAGAUGAAACAAACCAUUUAUUUCCCAAUCUGCUUCUGGCCAUGAUAUUUAUGACACCAUAGCAGUAGAAAGCAAACUUGAUAAAAUGUGCAAAACCAAAUUGUGAUGCCAGAGAUCGAGCCACCAGUAUCUAGGCCUUCAGGUGGAUCCUGAACAAGAAGCUGUGAAGGAACUUGAUGAUAAAAUUGUCCUGCCUGCUACUUGUUUUCAUGGUUAUAUCAGUGAAUCGAAAUCGAUAGGUCUGUCUUCCGCACUAACAGCAGCACUGUGUGUGUGUGUGUUUUGUUGUUGUUGUUGUAUGUUAGUGAUUAUUCAACAGAAUUUGAUGAAAACACUAUUUACAUCUGACGAGCUGUCUUCCUCAACAUCCCAUCUGCUGAUGUGUUCAGUCAGCUGUUUCCUAAUCACAUGGCUUAGUACACGCUGGUUCAAUUCCUUCCUUCCUUGCCUCCUCUUCCUUAAGAGAAAGGAACGGUUUUGCUCUGGGUACCACCCAGUGUUGGGCAUGGAGAGUGACUGCAUAGUAGUGUGUGUCUAGAACAGCGUCACUGACUGGCUUCCUUCUCUAUGCCAAGGUCAAUGCUGGGGACUCUUCCUCUACAAUUCCUGAUACCAAGUAAGUGCUUGCUCUACAAUAGAACUGCAGAAGUUAUAGUGUCAUGUUCACACUGUUACAAAGCGUAGCCCAUCAGAGGCUACCAUCGGUUCAUGUAGACACACGUUUGAGAUGGUUCAGGGUCAGGAUUAGAACUCUUGGGAGGCACUGACCCUGUAAUCUCACUUAGAGAUCUUCAGAUGUGCCUGCAGGUCAGAGACUCCACCCCCUUUCUAGUUUGUGGAUUCCUCUUGUCAGCAGGUGGAGACAGCUUUGAAAACAGAGCCUUUCACUUCCCGGUGUCUUUGACAGCAGAUGCUUUUGUGUAUGGAGGAUGGAAGGUAGGCAGUGUCCCAGCUGCAGAACCUGGCCGCACAUUUCAAUUUAUCAGCACUAUCACUUUCUUAAUUGCAAAUAAACUAAUUAACUAUGCAAUAGGAGCCUUGAAAACUCCCGAGGCCAGCCUGCUGCCAGCUUCUGCCUGCUCUCCUUCCCUUACAGAAAACAUAAAUCUCUUACUGAUGCUUAGCGUAAUGGAAGUCCACAAUUCAAAAAUCAAUUAUUUUGCGAGUGAGUGGAUGACUUUUCCUUGGUGUCCUUUGUUGGCUGAUUUUUCUGGGGGCUCCCUGUACUGUUUUCUGUGGAAGUGAACUAAGUGUUUGGCUACUAAAAAUAAGUUCUAUUAAGCAGAUCUUGAGAUUCAGUGAAUUGAAACUGGGCGACACCAGAGCAGCUGGCCCCACAUUUUUCUUUUCUAAUUAAUUGAAAUAUAUUGUUUAAUCAUGUGAAUAUGUGUCUUUAUGUGGGUCUGUGAGCUUGAGUGCAGAUACCCGAGGGAGCCAGAAGGGAGUGUGGGGUCCCCUGGAGUUACAGAAGCUUGUGAGCCAUUUAAUGUAGGUGUUGGGAAUUGAUCUUGGCCCCUCUGCAAGAGUGGGUGCUCUUAACCACUGAGCCAUCUCUCCAGCCCCUCUAAUAAACCUUAAAGGAGAUUUUGAAACCUUAAGGAGAUUUUAAAGUGUCGUUGACUUCAUUAUAUGACAAAAGCAAUCUCUAGAUGUGUUGGAAAACAGUUUCCUAGUUCUUAAGAAAUAUUAAACUUCAAGUUCCCAUAGGCCCCAGUUAGCCAAGAGCACAGAAAGUGAAACUUGCACUUGAGCGUUCACAAUAACGUCAUUCCAGACACAGAAAUGGUGAAGACAGCACACAUGUCGAUGGCCUUAUGUAUAGAUCCUUGUAUAUUUACAUACUAGAAUGAAACAUGGAUAUAUGCUAUAUGAUGACCCCCAAGACACAUUCAUCCAGUCACAGGAGGGCCUAUAUUGUCUGAUGCCACUCACAAGAAAUUUUCACAAGACUGAAACCAGGCUCCUGGUUGCUUGGACAUUGAGGAUAGAGAAAAGGAUGUGGGGAGACUGUGAAUGAACAAAGGAUGCUCACAGAGGUGAUGCAGUGGGGAUUGGUGGCCAGACACUUGAUUAAAAAUAGCUCCAGCCAUUCACUGUCAUGGAGAAAUUACUAUGGACUUGCCGCCAUUGUGGGUACUGAUCUGGCCUUUUAUGUACCUCCUCUGGAGAUCUACUUAUCCCAGGCCCAAGAUCUGUCUAUAGGCAGGGAGUGAUCUUAGCUACUCACACAGAGCGUGCAUGCCAGGAGGAUUUCUCUGUUGAGGAGAGUAUCAGAAUGGAGCAAGAGAUAUCUAGAAAUUAGUCAGCGGCCAUUCGUCACAAACCACAUCAGGUAGUUGGUUGCUCACAGGCCAGCAUAAGUCAAGUAAAAGUGUAGUCUGCAGAGAGAGAAUGGUAGCAUUCAUUGUCUUUGCCAUGGAGGUUGGCUGUAACCCUUUGGUGUUUGUGUUUGUGGCUACCAUCAUAGCCUUAGAGCUUCUAAUUCCUGGCUUGGACUAUCAAGAAGUCUUGUAACUGGCCACUGGCCUCCAACCCUUCCAUCCUGUCCUGUUCCCCAUCAUGUUGUCAGCAAGGGUAGUAGGCCAGAGGACAUUUCUCAGGCAGACCACUGGGCCCAAACACUUAGCCCUAGGCUUUGGUCAAGCUAUCUUCUUCCACUGACUCGGGUUUCUCAUCUUCAGUGCUGGAAACAGUGUUACUCUGCUCCCAGACUUAUUAGGAGAAUUAUUUGUAAUAUCAGGAAGACCAGACUUAUUGUGUGCUUCUUGUGCACUGGGGACUCCCAGAAUCCAUUCAAAGUGUUUAGAGGGGAGCAGAGCCUCUGAGAGAGCUCAGCAAAUGUCAACCGCGAUUAUUAUUAUUGUUAGCACACCUCUUAAGCUCAAAUCUAAUUAGUCAAUGCCUCCCGUAAAUCCUCCUUCAUUAUUCAGACAGUUCAAACUGGCAUCAAAGUCCUUUGUCGGUUGGAUACAUUUCUGCCUCUUGUGUUUCAUCUGUGGUGAAUGUCUCUCCCACUCUUGAUGGAGUAUUCCCAGCUGGCCCAGAAAGUGCCUCUGUGUUUCCAUGCUUUCAAACACACUCAGGCUUUUGAGCCAGCUCCGUGUCAGGACUUGGACUUGGUCUUCCACUCCUGGGACACAGCUCUUGCUUUAUGUGCCCGUCACUGCCUGUAACUCAGGCAUUCAAUCAGCCUUUCCCCAAGGCUGGGUUGAGAAACUUUUGAGUGCACUCAUGACUAUUGUCCUAAUCAUUCCCUACAAUAUCUGGGCGCUGUUAAAGACGCAACCCUCCUUUCUUUGCGCAGACCCCCAGGAGCUCAGGCUACUCCUGUAGAGGGCUCUGACACUGUGCCAGCCUGCCAGUGUGUUUCAGGUGUGCAGCUGAUCAAGGGGCAGGGCCAGGAACAGAUAACUCCAGGUCCCCUGGUUGGCUCACUCCUCCCAUUGUUCUGCGGGGUGCCUGUCUCACUCAGAUGCACCACAUGGGGAAGCCAGAUUGCACCAAGAAGAGGCCAUGGCAGAACCUUGGUUGCAGAGGACUGAACUCUCGUGUCCUUGACUAGCACUUCCUCUCCUGUCAUGCCAUUUGCCGUUCUUGCUGUUAGUGACUUCUGUAAGAUUUAUCAGGACAGAGCUGUGAGUUUAGACAUCACAAAGACCCUCCACCCUGUAACAUUUUAAGUAAUGUGCUGGCUAGGAAAGCAGCAUCCAGGUUAAUUUCUCAUGAGAUCUGCGGUACUAUCUGGAGUCUAGUGGAUGGUUGGGUGGACAGGCACUUGCAGCUGUGACUUCUCUUGACUCUCUUUAGCCCGUUUCUCCUCAUCUCUACUUAGUUCUGUUCCCCGUUAGCAAUGCUGUUGUGCUUAUGUCUGGCUUAUAUAUGAGGGGAUUGAGAUGGAGGGCAUUCUGAUCAAUGUCCAGAGACCCAUAAAUGUCACGUGGUGCCACAUGGAACCUGCUCAUCCCACCCCUUCCCAGCCUCGGGCUUGAGGGAGCCGCAUGAGGAAGAAGGUAGGACCCAAGUCCUCACUCCGUGCAGCUGCAUCAAGGCCCUGCGGCGAGCUCUGGUGAAAUCUCUUUAGUUCUGGGCUUCAGCUGGGACCCUGGGCUGCAUUGCUUCCCACACUGGACUCUAAGAGCCUCCUUCUGGCCCCACACUGUAGCAGGACCCCAGGGUUGGCCCUGUGCCUUCAUUACUCUCUCUCCCUGGGCAACAGUGAGCACAGCACAGGGAGGGUAUGGCUGGCCUCCGCCAUGCAGCCCAGCCUCAGAUGCCUGCCAGUGAGAAGAGUUUUAUUUUUUAGGGGUGAGGGGAUCCCAUAUUCACCUCCUGUGUGUUCUUUUUUUUUUUUAAGAAUUUUUUUUAGAUUUAUUUAUUAUAUGUAAGUACACUGUAGCUGUCUUCAGACACUCUAGAAUGGUUGUGAGCCACCAUGUGGUUGCUGGGAUUUGAACUCGGGACCUUCGGAAGAGCAGUCAGCGCUCUUAACCACUGAGCCAUCUCACCAGCCCCUCCUGUGUGUUCUUAAGUUCUCAUGUUAGUAAGAGUCUCCCCUAGGCAUGUGACUUACUGAGUUUGAGAUAGAAACCCUGGCCACACACGGGGCCUUUGUGUGGGUUUGCUCUCCCCUCUCUGCCAGGACAUCACACAUUUAGGUCCUAUGUGGAGAAAAUGGUUAUCCAGUGAGGCCAGGCCUGCACUUUCCUACCUAUACAUGACAAGAGUCUGUACUUCUCUUUUGACAGUAAAACAUCUUAGGACUACCUCUUCAUUAAGUAGUCACAUGCUCAAGGUGAUUGGAGCCUGGAACAGUGGAGUUGGGGACCCCCACCCCCACCCCUGACCCUGGAGUGUGGCCUGGAUAGCACCUAGGUCAGGUGCUGAGGCUCCGUGGUCCCCAGGGAAAAUGGAGAUGUCAGGAGGACUCUGUGGGCUGAGGAACUACUGUACUCUCUACACUCCCUCCAGUGGUGUCUGGGGAGGUUGGUGCUCCACCUCCCAUUACCCCAGUGCUCCUCUCUUUCUCCCUGCCAGGCUCCCUACUACCUGCUGCAGGAUAGCAGCAGUCGGUGUCUACACACUUUCAUAAUUUGACUUGGUAGUCCUUCAAAGGUAAAGUCUCCAGUCUUUCUCCUGCAAGCUCUGGCAGGUCUCUGUUAUCCCUCAUGUUCCCAGCAGCUCUGAGAAGGAGGUUUUCUUCUGAGGUCUUGGUUUCUCCUCUGGAAAGAAGGCUGGAACACUUUCACCAGAGUGGUGUGAGGGUUGUACGGUGUGCCCAGCCCAGCAUCACACCGAACACACUGACAAUGACAACUCUGAGAAAAGUGUGUGAUGGGAUGUGGCCACACAAGAACUCCCGUGUUUCCAAUCCACUUGUCGACCCUUCUGGAGACAAGUGGCAAGCCUCCUGGUAGGGCUUCUACUCGUUAAAGCAGCAAUCAGAGGAAAAUCCAGACAGCAAUUUCACUGUUUCCAAUAGCGUGCCGGGGAAAGGUCAUACAUAAUGAGAGUGUUGGAGCCUCUGCUGGUUUCUUUCCUCUGUUGAUUUGUUCUAGCACAUGUCCGGAACCCAUGUUCUUCACCGCUCUGCUGUCAAGCUCUCAGGAUGCUGGCGCUCUUGCUACUCCUUACAGCUGCGGUGCACAACACACACACACACACACACACACACACACACACACACACACACACACACACACACACAGUUGUGGCCAUCCUGUCAACCUGGGGCCAAGAAUUCCCUCCAAAACAGCUAAGGGGAAACUGCUGGAUGACAACUGCCACUGCUCUUGGGUGACUUCUUGCUGUCCCCAGAAGUGGAUGCCUGAUUCCUUUAUGUGGCACUCCUUAUCUACAUCUGGCUCUCCCUUUAAAGCAGCAGCAAAGAUGAAGGGCAUGGAGUGCAGAGGCUCCCCAAGACCCAUGUCUAGGACCAGUAGAUCAGAUCUGUUGUGGCUCACCAGCUCCAGCUUCCAUUGUCUCUCUGCUGGGAACAUUUUCCUCAGCCUGUAAGCCCGACUCUUCGUACUGAGUGACUUAAAUGAUUUUCUUCAUUAGGACCAAGUUCUGUUCACUGCUGUGUACCUGUGUCUUAGCUAGCUCUUGGCCUUACUAGAUGUUUAGUAAAUGAUUAUUAAGUUACAACCCGGGUUUUAAAGGCCACACGGUUCCUCAGGAAGACAGAUGUGAAUAGACCAGCAGUAGAGCUGAGCAUAGCAUGUGCGCCUUUGUGGAGCACUGGAAAACUCAGCUUUUAAAAAGUAACAGUAAUAGUUUUUAAUAGUGGACCAUAGCUAUGCUUGGAAAAUAGUUAUUGGAUAUAAGUCAAAACCAUGGUGUGAGACCUGUAUAUCCACUAAGGUACCUGUGAAAGAAAACCCUAGAAGGUAACAUGUGUUAGCAAAGACAUGGAGAAAUGGGGAUUUGUAACUCCUUGGAAGUUAAACAUGGAGUUACCACGUGAUCCCGCCAUUCUGCUUUCAGGCCUAGACUCUCACACAGAGCUGAAAACACACAACCACACACGUCCACAGCACCAUUGCUCACAGUGCUGACUGGGGAUGCAGCUCGGUGUCCAUCAGCUGACUAGUGGAGCAGUGAGCUGUGGAAUAGACCGGACUGCAUUGUCUUAUUCAGUCACAAGAGGGAACAACGUGCUGCGAGACGUUGCAACCUGGGUGAGCCCUGAGCUCCUUGACAGGAGCAGGUCAGGUGAAGAGUUUGACUCUCCAAGUUAAAUCUUCUGACUAUGCAGAUCCACAGAAACUGGGGAGCUGUGUAGGCCACAGGGCCUGGCUGGGGAUCCAGGAGCAGUUGCCUAGUAGAUAAGCACUUUCCUUUUGGGGUGAAAGGUUGGUGAGCGGCAGAGGUUGCACCCUACCAUGAACAUACUUAGUGCCACUGAAUUUUCCAUUUGAACAUAGUUAGUUUUAUGUCAUCUUCACCUUCAAUAGCAGCAAAAAAUAUUGAAAAUUAUAAAUCAUCAGAUACUUGGCGAUUAGACAUCUCUUUUCCUUCUACCUGUCUGACAUCACUGAGCCUGCUGCCUCCUGGAUGACCACCUGGCUUUCUUUCCUUCUUUUAUGCAUGGGCCUAGUCCCUCCUUCCUUCCUUGUUCCCAGGGUCCUGGGUCACCUGCUCCCAGGUUCAUUUUGAACAGGUCCCUCCUGUGAACCCUUCUCUUCAGUUUUUGUUUUUUUUUCCUUUCUAUUCCUAGCUCUGUACCAUGACUGGGGAUAUAAUCCCAGGGAGUUCAUACGUCAAGGAGGAAAGACUCUUACAUUGACAUUCUGAUUUUUCACCUCACAGACUGAGAGGAAGGAUAUGUUUGCAGCAGGAAGCUUUCUUACAACAAGAUGGGGACUCAUCACUUGAGGUUUCUGUUCUAACCACGCUGGUCCCCAGUCAGCAUGCAUGAGUGAAGGUGGCUUUCACAAUGGAGACCCAUGGUGUGUCCACCAAGACUUCCAGGGAAGAGCGAGCCUACGCUGCAGGCACUGGGGUUGCACAGAGAAGCAACCAAAACAAGAUAAGCUGCAGAAGGGGAGUGGUCUGGUCAGAUGCUGUGGUGGUGAGCACUGGUCCAGGAGAAGCAGGAGACGCGGUACGAGGCUACGGCAGUGGACGACAAGGGCAUCAGGGGAGCAGAGAACGCAGUUUCCAGGCAGGUCACUUUUGUGGAUGCUGAAGCUGUUACCAAAGGUCACGUUAACUCAGGAAAUUCUUUCCACUCCCCAGACUUUGCUUUCCUCAUCCGUCAGAUGAGAAUAGUAGAAGCGUUCAUGCCCAGACUUGAAGCACUGGAGACUACUUCCAGCACUCAGUUCAUACUGUACUCACACUUACAAUGUGACCUGAAGGCUGCCACCAGGGCCAGACUGACGGAGGCUUUGUAGUCUUCACGCCCCAGAAUUACGGUUGCACUUACAGCAGACUGCAGGGAGGAGACUGGAACCUGCUGUUGGGAAAGCUGAGACAAGACAUGAACUUGAACUUUGUGCUUGGAAUGGUUUGGAGUGGGGCAGAAGAAGGUUGUGGCAAUGUGAUUGACAGGUCUUAGGGACCAUUAGGCCAAGGCAGGGGAGAUUCUGUUUUCAUCUGGUGGCUCUGGAGGGCGGGGCAUGGUGGAUGUGCUCAUUCUGCAGCUGUCUGCAGCUGCCGUGCUACCCAGGCAGGUCUUAGAGGGCAGUGGCUGCUGUCUAAAUGAGUGUGAGCCAGAAGUAGACAUAGAACUGCUAUCCUUGAUAAGGGAAGUUUCCCUAAACUGAGGCAGCCACUCAAAGGAGACUCUGGAACAGGAAACGGGGCUACUGCUGCAAUUUUGCUGACCCCUGUAUCGGAGGACUUGCAAAGAUGCUUGGGAGAGACCAAAGACGAAAAAGACAUUACAGAAAGCAAAGGACAGUCCGUAGAAACAGCACAAUCUAGGGAGGGGAACGUGUAAAGAGUUUGCUGAAUUUACCAGUGUGGUAUUUUAUGACCUGACCGGGUUACUAGAAGUUUCAUAGGCAAAAGACGCUUUAUGUGUUGAAUGGUCACCGGGAUGAAGAAGCUAAGCACGAAGCAAAGCCACUCACUGAAGUUUGGUUUCGAAAGUUAGGAGAGGGGAGUUUUAGAAGUGUGUGGCUGAGUCCCCGUCGUCGCUGCUGCUUGGAGCCUCUGGCUCACGAGCCCUGCGCCCUGAGAUGUGCAUGUGAGGUAACUGUGCUGCCACAGACCUUGAUGAGGGAUAUUUAAAGGGUGCGUCCUCCCUCACUUCUCCAUUUGUUGUGUUCAUUAAGAAUUUAAGUUAGCUGCUCUGCUUUUUGUUAAGGUAUUUUUAGUUUCUCAAAAUUUCUUUGCACUUGUUAAUUAAUCCUAAAAUUAAUCCUACGUCCUCUUUUUUUACUCACCCCCACCCCCACCCUGCCGUAAUUUCCAAGUCAGCUCUCUUUUUGCCUGUUUCUUCUUGACCCAGAGUUAAUAGGUUUUUGCACCAACCUUCUCCAUUCUGAGAGGUCUGAAUUGGUAAUUAUAAUCUGAGUGCCCCCUUCUCCAAUCCUUGAAAGGAGAUUUAUUGAAGGCGGGGCCAUAAUGACUAACGGCAAAGCUUGGUGCAUUCUGUAUAGAUAGCCAGACCCAUCUGGUUUUCAGGACUCAGACAAGUCCCUUGGGGUUGACUUUCAUUUAAGCAUUUGCUGUCCCCGCAUCCUGCCGCCCACAUCCUUCCUGCCGUUUCCCCCCCAGCAAAGCCACCGCUCAUUUGGUGCUUGAUUUGGUGCUAAAAUGGCAUCCGAUGAGGCUUAGAGUCUGCAGGGUGGUAGAGAGGCAGCAACACCCAGAGGGUCUGACACCCACGAGCUGGGGCUGCUUCCUCUCCACUGUGGGCACUGGAAGAGAGUGGAGCCAUCAGCCCAAGCUAGGAAGGCAGCCACUGUGAGACAGGCCACUCCUUUGUGCUGUAAGGAGACACUCAGGCAAAUCUGAGUAAGACAUGAUGAUUCUGUGUGAAGAUGUUAUAGUGAAACCCAUGAUUUUGUAUGUUAACUAAAAAUAUUUUAAGAGUUGGAUAAAAUUCUGGAGACAUUGUGGUUACAAUACCCAUAAUACCAGAUUUACCCAUCACCACAUUUAAGUGUGCAGCCAAGUGGCAUGAAAUGGUCAUACUGCACUGUGGGUGCCAUUGCUGUCUCUUGCAGAACUCCAUUAUAUUAAACACCCUCCCCAUUUAAUUAUUUUGUAAUGAUAGUGCACUACAAUGUAGCCUCUGAUUCUUACUCAUUCAUUAAAUAUUCAUUGACUGCCUACCUAUUAAGGACUGGACUUAGCUCUGGGAAUGCAAAUCAAGUGAGUUAGGGACUAUCUUUAAGGAACUGAGACUCUGGCAAGGAGUACAGCAGUGAAGAUUCACUACCAGCCUCUGUCAGGGUUCUUGGGACAGCACAGAAGCAGAGCAGCUGGUCCCCUGGGGAGCCCAGAGGAGCCAUGUGACUGGGGAUCAGAUGCAUGUAUAGAGAGGUGCAGUGGGCCAUGGCUGUCUCUGCAGGGUUCAUUUGAUUUUUCUUAACACAGGAAACUGGAAAUUUGCACUGUUGUGUUUCCUCUGGAUCCUGCUGGUCCAGUACAGCGCCGUGUGGUACAAGUGUGUGUCUAACGAGAGAGGUUGCAGCUCACUGCAGAUAGGUGGUGUUGUGGCCUAGCUGCUAUCCUUGUGGUGUGCAUAGGAUUGGGGUGUGGCUCAGUCCAGAGAAGGCACAUCACCCAACGCCUUUACCUCAGAUUCGAGGAUGCCAGGCUUAGAUGUCAGGAAGGCCUUCUAGGCUCUGUGUGUGUGGUUGCUGUGACCAUCAUGGCAGCCUAUCCCAUGAUGUGUGCACUGUUUCUGUGUUUCUUCGUGCUUCCUCUCCUCCUCUCUCUGUCCUUCUGAGGCUUAACCUUGCCCGGUUCAGAUCGCUGUGUCUAGUGUGGCUAUAUAUGGCCCCACUGAAUGAUGUUGCAUUUCGGACAGUGAGGACCCGAGAGCAGAUUGCCUACUGCUCUUUAGCCUUGUCAUCUAAGGCAAGCCACGUGAUCUCUUUGCGCUACAGCUUCUGUGGGUCAGGACCAGAUCGGAUUUCCCUCGCUGCUGUGUAAGCAGAGGUAGCAUAUGCAAAGUGCCUAAGCUCUGGCUUAGUUCUGAGGGGAGGACAGAGUUGUUCAGGUUCAUGCUUUGCUUGAGAUACAAGGUUCCUGCACUGUGCAGCUGGUCAGCCAUUAGCCAGGAGAUAAGCCAUCGGCACCUCUGCUCCUCAGCUUCCUCCUCUAUGAGUCAGGGAUAGUAAGAGCUGCACCUGACAGAGCCAGGAUGCUCCUCUGAGCACUGGACACACACGAAGGGACACAGUGAACACUCCACACUCAGAAAGCCACCACACAGCCUGGCAUGUGUUUGGAGUCCUAGGAACAUUUUCCCCCGUGGCUCUUGUUUCAGAAACUCAGGGUGGUGUGUGUCUCUGCCUGUCUGCCUCCUGAGCUUUAAACUUAGGGCAGGGGCAUUGGGAACAGGGCCAUCAUGCUUCUGUUUACAGGCCUGUUUCCUCAGGCUUGCAGGGAUGGAGGCAAUGCAGCAGGCAGGUACCACACUGCACUGCAGUUCAUCAUCUUACCACACAGGGCUGCCUUUCCUUAUAGAAAGCUCACAGAAGGUUUAGGUGUGCUGCGCACCUUCUAGAAGGCUCUCUCAAAAUGAGGAUAAGGUACCUGCUUUGCAGUUUCCAUCCCUUUCCAUGCCUUGUAUUUGGCAGCCGUUGUGUUUACAGAGCGAGAAUUCUAGCUUCCUCCCUUUCUGUAGCAAAUGGCUUGGGUGGAAUUCUGAAGAGGUCCUAGCCUCCUCUCUGAAAUGCUGCUUAUAUAUUAUUCCGUAUUCUUCCUCCAGGCUGAAGGUGGACAUGACUCAGAGGCAGGUGGGAGGCAAGGCUUUGCAGGGGAGACACCCACAGUUCCUAAUAACUCAGAGACCGACCGGUAGAAUAAGGAGAAGAGGGUAUAGAUUUUGAAAAACAGUUCAAGAAACUUGUUGAGGUCCUUUUGCAUGUAAGGCUGUUCUGGGGAUUCUGCAGCUAAUGACUGCAGGGUGCCCUGCCCUCCUGCCUACCUUCUAGUGAGAAGUAGCUGAGGCCUUUAAGAUUUAAGCAUUUUUUAAUAGGGGAUUUUUUUUUUUUUUUAGGUAUUGGAGAACAAAAGAGAAAAGGCGGGGGGGGGGGCGACAGAGAGGGAGUCUCAGAUGGCUGGGGUGGGUUACCAUGCUGGGGAGAUUGAGUGGUUGGGGCCUUCAGCUCCCAGACCGGCUUCAAGCUUCACAGUUCUAUCCCUGAGAUAGAAGCUACACAGAAGACAGAGACUGUUUGUCCACGCUGAACCGUUAGUGUUAGGAUGUCACCUAGGUGAUGACAGGUGAUCUCAAAGUGGCUCUUCAGUGAACAAAUGAUUUAAUGUGACAGCAGGCUGUCACCUGGCUUUCUUGAAGUAUAGUUGGCUAAGCCGUGAAACCGUGAAGUCAGUCUCUGCCUGUCAUUAUAGGAGGAGAGGCAGGAGCAGCAUAGGGUCAUGCUUGGUGCACAGCAGAGAAAACCUCAGUCCCAUCCUCCCAGGACCAUGUGCCAAUCACUCCGUGGCAGCAUCUUCCCGGAUUCUGAAUAGAGGCCCCAAUGGGCUGCUUGAGAACCAGAGUGGCCUGGUACCAGGUAUCUGAGAGUAAGUAGCCUUUUGAUUCAAAAAUAAACAUGCAAGCUCACAAAACAUGUAUCUGCUCUCUCAUUGUUGUAGCAAACCCAGUGGCUGGAAACAACACAGAUUUAUCAUCUUGUGGAUCUGAAGAUUGUACUGCUCGGAUGUGAAGAACUCCCUGUGGGAUUGUGUGCACUCGAGAGUGUGCAUGUGUGUGUGUGUGUGUGUGUGUGUGUGUAACACCGAUUCUCUUCUCCAGCAUCUAACCAGACCUCCCUUUCUGACUCAGAGCCCCUUCCUCCUGCUACAAGUCACCAUGAACAGCAUGAUAUUUUCAGUCCUGACCUUCCCGGCCUCCUUCCUCUCCCAAGAACCCUGGCAAUGGCAUUCCAAACCAACCUAGAUAACCUUCACUGGUCACUCCUGCAAAGUCCUUAUGUGUCAUGGUACACCCUAAUAGGUGCUAGAGACUGGAACACAGAUAUCUUUGACAUUUUUUUUUUAGCCUAUCACCAUGUAUUGACCCACACGGUUCGGCAGUUAGUUUACCUUGAGAAAUAAGAUAGGCCGGUGUACAAAGCUGCGUGCAUGAUGUUCUCGGCCGCAGUAGUAUUUAUAAAGCCAGAGUUAGUAGAUGCAACAUAAAUGCCCCGCAGUGACGACUUGAUUAACUGAUGAUGAUCUGUCCGUGUGACACAUGACCAGUAAGGAUGAAGGUCUAGGAAGACGUAUUUUAGUGUGGAAAGAUAUCUCUGACUUAAGACACAAAGGGCAAUUCAUAAAACAGAACAAGGACGUGAGCUGACUCUGACAGAAAAACGCCUUUGUUCAGCAUGCACUGGGGGAGCCCAGGGAACACGGCAGGGGCAUGUGUGCAGGGGCAGGACGCUAAGCUGGCUUCUUACUGUAUGGAUUUUACACAAGAGAGAAGGAGAUUAAAUUUAGUGGGGAGGAAUCAACAGGAGAGUGGCUGAUUAUUAGGUUUUCCUUUGAGGAGCUCUCUUCACCCCUGCCCUUCAGGCUCUCCCUUCCCCCCGCCCUGCCCCCCACAUGGCAGCUGUGCCCAGUGCUCCUGCCUGCUGGCUCUUCUCAUCUGUGCUCUUCCCAAGCUCACUUCUCCAUCAGUCCUGGUGGGCUCCUUAUCCCUCCUCUGCCCACCUGUCCCAGGGGAGAAGGCAGGCAGGCUCACUCGCAGAGGGAGUGUGUCUCCAGGCUGCUGCAGAGUCUUGGUUUCAUGCCUGCAUUUGGAGCUGGGUUUUUACAGUGUGUGUGUGUGUGUGUGUGUGUGUUUCUCUGCUUUCACGAUUUUUUUAUUUUUACAUUUUCUCAGCCAUCUCUCUCUUCUAGAUCUGCCAUGACAGCCCCCAUAUCAGAUUGGUGACUGUGUUCCUUCAUCCCUGAUUCUAACUCUCAUACUAAUCCCUACCCUCUUGCUCUCAAGGCUGCUGACAAUGGGGAGGAAGCUGAGGUUGGCCUCUCAGCCCUCCUUUCUCAUGGGCAAAGCUGGAUUAAAGUGGGUUUCUACUGCAGAUUUAGCCGUUGCCAGAUUUCUAUAAGGCCUCUUACUUGUAUGCUAGAAAGAAAGCAGAUUAAACACAAUUUGUUAAUAUUUUGCUUGCCAUGACGACAGAAGAAGCCUCAUGCAGCACUUUGUGGCCCUCUUUCCAGAGAGCACUGAAGCCUGUGCCAGCUAUAGUGCCUGUGUCAGCACCUUUUUGCUGUGCAGGGGUAGGUGUGAAGUUGCAUACCGCUGAGCAUCAGUUAGAUGCAGUGCUUGACCCUCCUUGCGCCCCAGCCAGGGCUGCUGGCUUAGUGUGUUUAUCACUGAGAUCAGAGAAGUCAUAUGAUAGAGGCCCUGGGUAUAUAUAUACAGCACAUAUUUAGGGCUUCCUGCAGAUCAAGCCCUACCAUUGUCCCGCCUACACUGACUUUUGCGCCCGUCAAUUAGCAAGAGAGUGAAUGGAGUCUUGAAGAGGUGAAGGGUGUUAUCCUUCGGCCAGACUCACAGGUCCAGACCUGCCGGUGGCCAUCUCAUUGUGCUCGGAGGGUUCUGACUACUUUGGCCAUCUAAAGGGUGUGUGUCCUCACACAUGGUAAACGCCAGUGAGCUGUUGUAGAGGUGUGCAAAUGUCUCUGCAGACACCUGGAGUCUUUGCCGCUUUGCUGUCUCUUUCUUUGUUCGGUGGUUGUUUUCUCUUACUCUUUUGGCCGACAAAGGAGGGAGGUGCGUGUUAGCAGAAUGAAGCCCUUUAUCCGUCUGCGCUGAAGGACUCCAUAUCAGUACAAAUAAGACUACCCUUCGGAUUUACUAGAGCAGUUUCUCAGAUGCUCAGCUCUAGAAGUGGUCCUCGCAGACAUCCAUGUAUUCCUCUAGGUUGUCUCAUGAGUCUUCCCUUUCUCCCAGAGCACAGGGAUCAUAGCCAUGGCCUUCAUUUGAUGAUACACAGUGAUGGCGGUACAAGCUCUUUGAUGGCUCCCUCUUUGCGUGUCUGUGUUGGUCUAAGGCCUCAUGCACUACAGCCUCCCUGGGCCAUGUUCACAACUUGCUGCUCUGAGGAGGGCAUGUCUCCUUAGGAUGUGUGAGUGAGAUGAAUGGAUAGAGGCUUCUGAUAGGGCUGCAGGACCACACUGGGACACAGUCAACACAUGACAGAGCUCUUUCUCUAAGAGGUAGACAUGAGAGUCAAUAUGCACUGAGAAUAGACAGGUUUGCUUGGUGCCUUCCGUGUCAGCUGUAUGCUGUACCCAGGUGAGCCAUGGUUUCUUUUUUUUCCUUUUUUUAAAAAAAAAAAUUAUUAUUUAUUUAUUUAUUUAAUGUAUAUGAGUACACUGUAGCUGUCUUCAGACACACCAGAAGAGGGCACCAGAUCUCAUUACAGAUGGUUGUGAGCCACCAUGUGGUUGCUGGGAAUUGAACUCAGGACCUCUGGAAGAGCAAUCAGUGCUCUUAACCACUGAGCCAUCUCUUUUAGCCUAUGGAUUUGUCUCCCGUAGGGGAGACGACGUCUGUAGACUCAGUAGUCCCAUUCAAGCGAUGUGUUAUUUCAAGCUUGAGGAGUGUAAUUCUGAGCGGCUGUAGACUGGCCUAGUCUAGGGUAUCUCCUCAUUUCCUGAGGAGGAAAGUGCAAGCUGAGAACAGACUGAUGAGUAAGCUCUAGCCCUGGCAAGAGAGGCAGAGUGCUUGGGGCGGGGCCACGACAGGAGGCGGGACUCUGUCAGCAGAGCAGUGAGAGGCUGGGGGAGGACUUGAGGCCUGCAAAGGAGGUGGGGCUAAAGGAACAGACUGGAGGGCACACCGCAGGUGCAGUGCUAGGUCAGAGGGCCAUUUAGCAGGGUGGUUAGACUUCAGAAGUGCCGAAGAGCAGAAGGUGGCACAUAGUGGUGUGUGUGGAGGGGUGUCGUAGGGUGUUCCUUACUGGGCACUUGGUAAAGUGUGUAGGAUAGGAUCUUGAUAGCAGUGGCAGGCUAGAGGUGACCAGGACUUCAGUGUUAGGUUUGGGGCUUGAGUUACUUCUAGACACUGUUGACAGGCGUCAGCUCUAGAAGUAGAUCAAGGGCCCAAAGACCAGGUGUGAGGGGACGAUUCAUGGCUUCCAGACAGAUGGUGGGGAGGAGCAGAGGGUCUGACGUGACCCUGGGAGCCUUGCAAGAACUCUGUUGAGACGGAGAGUUAUGUGUGGUUUUCAGGGUGUCUCCCAGGUAGAUGAUGAGAAGGAAGAGACAGGAGGUGGGCCAGGCUGUGGGGAAUGCUGUGCCUUACAAAAUUACAAGGAGGAUACGCUUCUUAAGGAUAUUUAGUAGUUGACUGUUAUAACCAAGUUUUUACUUUAAAAAGAUCACUCUACAGUAGUGAAGGAUGGCUUUGAGGACUCAUUCACUUGUGAUAUCCUUAAGCCUUGUGUUAAACGCGAGAAGCAAAUGUCACUAGUGCAGAGACAGCACUUGUAGAACAUUGGUUGUCUAUGGGCGAAAGGUGGACCUGCAGGUGUGACAUGAGGAUGUGACCCAUUGCACAGAUGUUUGUAACACAGCAGGAAGGAAGACCAUGUUAGCAGUUGAGUGGUCAUAGGACUAGCUUCCCAAGCAGAGGGCACAGAAGAAAGUCAAGACAGACGAUGUUAGAGAACAGAAAAUAAACACUUUGGGUUUGGGGCUGGAGGGUCAUAAGUGGGGCAGAAGUGGUAAGAAGUAGGCUCGAGGAAGUGAGGAGGCUCUGAGGGCAGACAGAAUCCUAUGUCUAAGGAAAAGGUUGUGACAGACUCAGCCCUACAUCUGAGCAGGGUCUUGCUGGCAGCUGUAGAGAAAAAUCUCUGUAAGAGAAAUAGGGAGUGAAAGAAAACCAUAACCUACCAUGGAACAAAAGCAGCAGAGAAAGCACAAAUGAGGAAAGACCACAGCUGUAUCACACCUGGGGCAAGACUGGAAGGCUGAGACCAGGAAGCUGUCUACUCUGGUCAUUCCCAUUCAGCAUCAUCUAGAAAGUUCUAGUCACGGUCACUGGGCCAGGAGAUGGAAUGCACAGCCCCCAGUUUGGAAAGGAAGAAGCAAAAUGACAUUUUGUUCGUGGAUGAAAUGGAAUAUGGCCAACUUACCCUUACAGGUAAAGAAAUUUAUAUUAAUGGCAUUGACAAAGGAAUUCUCAAAAAAAAAAAAAACCAGCAGAGACUUUGUUUCUCUGGUUAAGUCUCAUGAAGAACAUUUUGUAGCAAGCUUAGAAAGGAAAAAUAUAAAAUAUAUGGUUUGAGUAUUAAAGGGACACCAGGAAGUGAAAUGGAGCCGAAUCCUGUGUUGUAGGAUAGCAGAUAGCAGAUUAAGGGAGUGGUGCUUUGGGGCAAGAUCCUACCCAGCUCAAUUUAGAUCCAGGUAUAGUGGUACAUAUCUUUAAUCCCAGGAGAUGAAGCCAAGCAGAUUUCUGAGUUCAAGGCCAGCCUGGGACAGAGCAAGUUCUAAGUAAAGAAAAGCUUAAGUCCAGGCAUGGGAUACACAUCUUUAAUCCCAGGAGACAGAGCCAUGCAGAUCUCUGAGCUCAAGGUCAAUCUACAGAGCAAGAUCCAGGACAGCCAAGCUUAGGCCGUGGAGGACUUAGAAAACAGAAAGCUGGUGAUAAUGUAAUAGAACAAGAGGGCCAUGUUCUACCUCCUGCAAGCAGCAGAACUUGGCAGAACAUGGGUGGGUUCUCUUUUUUUUAAAAAAUAUUUUUAAAAUGUAAUAUUAACUCUUUGAGCAUUUCAUACAUGCAUAUAACAUAUUUUGAUCAUUUUCAGAUACCACUCCUGGAUCUGCUCCACCCUUCCCAAUUUCAUAUUCCCCCUCCUUUAAAAAGUAAAAAAAGCAUCAAGUCUAGUUUUUGCUGCCUACCUACUCUACGGGAAUAGGGUCAUCCACUGGAAUAUGGUUAGUUUACCCAUACAGAAAACUGACUUUUCCUUCCCCAGAAUCUUAUCAGCUGUCAGCUAAGGAUUGGGGCUAGUAAACCUCCCUCCAUUCCAUGUUAGAAUACCAGCUGGCCUGAUCUUGUGCAGGCAGCCACAGCAGCUGUGUGUUCAUGAGUACAGCGGCCUUGUCAUGUCCAGAAGACACUUACACUCCAGUCCUCUCUGACCUCUGGCUCAAACAAUCUUUCUACCCCGUCUUCUGCAGUGGCCCAUGAGCCUCGGGCAGAGAGGUUAUGGUUUAGGGGUCCUGUUGUGUCUGAGCACCUCACAGUCACAUUCACUCUCUCUCUGCCCUUCAACCAGGUGUGAAUUUCUCCGUUAACCGAUACCCACCGCACACAGGGACUUCUCUUCCGAGCUCCGAGAGCCACGGUGAUCCGUGGGUGUAGAGAUGCUCAUUUGUGGAACAGUUUGAUACUAUGUGCAUUUAGUAAAAUAAUAGUAGGUUUGGGGAGGGGCAUCUCUUAAGCUUGGUUGGGGAGCUUUUGGAUGGGGGAGUCCAUGAAGGUCUGGGAGUUUUCUCCCCUGCCUAGAAAGGAAUUCAGAACGUGGCGUGAAGGUUAAGUGAGAUGCUCUUUAUCCUGUGGGAGGACACGCACACUGAAAACGGAGGGGCUCAUUCCUAAUGAAACAACUGAGGCACAUAAUUGUACAAUAUCCAGCACAUGCCUGGCUCCCUGAACACUCACUGCUGAGGGAUUACUCGCAUCUCAUCAUUUGGUUGGCUUUGCCCACUUAUAUGAUGAUUAAGGGCAGGUCUAUGUUGAUCUUUUUACUUCUGUGUUUCUAGGGGCACACAGUAGGAACACAUACAUGUCUCCUGAAUAAGAACAGAGGGAUAACAGUGAGGUUGCUGUCCUUCCCUUCUGAUGCUCCCUUGGUGUGUGUGUGUGUGUGUGUGUGUGUGUGUGUGUGUGUGCACUUGUGUGCAUGUGAAUGUACAUGUUCUCUGUUCGGCUUGGAUGCUGGUCCUGUACACUUCUGAGAUUGAGGCUGUAUCAUUGUGCUCUGGCCUUUGCCUCAGUUUAACUAUUCUGGGAGUUAAUUAUCUGGAGCAUAUUCUGAGAAUUAGAUUGGCAUAUAUAAAACCGUGUUGAAAAACACAAGGAUGUUGGUGAUUAAGCUCUGCUUGUCUGUCUGUCUGUUUUUUUGUCAUAAUCGUGGUCCUUCAGGUUGAAUAGAUGCUCAUGCUUAAGAUAAAAAGAUCCUAAAAACGUUUUAGGGAGUUCUGAUCUAAUCUUUGGUUUCUCAUCUUCUCGCCCUGAAGUUAUCAAUUUAAAAUAAAUGUAAUGACUACUUUAUGACAACAGAAUUGAAACGGAUCUUCUUAUCUGACACAGACGACUUAUCUGCUCAGCACUAGCCAGUGUGACUUAGUGCCUCCUGUGACUUGAUUAUGCCCUACUGUCGCAGUCCUAGAUGAAGCAUCAGCCUAGAGAUCUAGACGCUUAUGAGAAUCUGUCUGUGUGCUGUGAGCGUGUCCACUGCACUUGCUAAAUAAAUAAACAAAGCAAUUCAUUUAAAUAUAUAUUAAAUUAGAGGUGCAGGCAUCGCUGGCGUGGCAGAGGCAUUCAGACUGUGAGCGCGCCCUUGCCCCUGGAGGUAUCCUGCAGUUGGAAGCAAAGAGAGCAGAACAGGAGAGCAAGAGUAGAUGAGAAGACCGGAAGUAGACAGAACACGAAGUGAAUGUUUACUUGUUUAAAACUUUGGGGCAGUAUGAAGCAUAAUGGCUGAGAGAUGAGAGGAGGAACGGUGGACCAGUGGGAAAAAGCUGGGUGUGGCAGUGUAUACCUGUAACCCAGCACUUAGGAGGUAGAGGCAGGAGGAUCAGGAGUUCAAGGCUAUCGUCAGCCUCAGCCACCCUGUGCUGCUGUAUGAGACCUUUUCUCAAAACUACCAUAAUACAAACAAACACACACAUAUGGCAAUGGCGAAAUUGGUAAUGUCCAACAACCCCCUUCCUUGAGCACUGGUGCAGUUGUUUAGUUAUUAAAAUCAUACCAUAGGUGCUUUGAUUUCCAGUUUUUUUCUUCAAACCAAACCAAACAAGUAACAUAGACUAUGGAUAUUAAGUUAUGUGGCCAAAGAAUGGAGAGUCAGAGCAAUGGGACAGCCUUGUACCAGCAGAGAGGUUGGCAUGAGCCAUGCUGUUAAGGUGGGGAUUUAAAAGGGAAAUUAAGACAGAGUAUCAUAAUUUAUAGAACCAGGGGCUUGCCUUUUUCCUCUAAAUUUAAUUUAAAGUUAUUUUAAAUGGAAAUUCGUGCGGCUCGAGUUUGAGUCCAGUUCAAAAGAGUUAGGCAUGUGUCUCCAUCCCGCUCCAUUUCCUGCACACGUGUCCCCUUCUGUCUUGCUGAACACAGGGAAUUACUGAUGCACACUCCUCAAACUUGGAUGUCAGUCCUUUGGCAAUUCUUCCUUGGGUGCUCUUGUGCCAUGGAUGGGCAGAUAGGCAUCUACUGUGGCCUUAGACUCACUCUUUAUGCCCGGGAAACCUUGGUUUUGAAAUUUUUUAACUCAUAUAUUGAACAUUUAGUGAUUUGUUGAUCAUGUUGUAUGGUCGUGAGUCAUUGUCUCAAUUAAGGGGAUAAGUCUCAAGCUUAGGUGAAGGUUUGAAACAAGGAAAGGCAGUAAGGUUGGAAUUAAGCCCUAGUGUUAGCAUGGAAUUUCAGCUGAAGUGAUCCAGAAAGCUCAUGCUAUCAUUGCUCUUGACACAAAAGGCCAUAGGAGAAACUCAGGAGAAGUUUAAAAUCUCACAGGAGAAGUUUAAAAGGAGAAAGCCAAAUGACCUGACAAGCUAAAACAAAGUAAACAUUUCAUAGCCUAGGAGUAAGGCAAACUCUGAGGCAGUUAGCUGACUUUUGGAUCCAAGAGUUUCAUCGGUGGCUAAAAUUUUAACAUAAUGCCAAGAAAAAAAAAAAAAAAAAAAGAAGGCCCAAGAUGAAGUAUUGGCACACCAGCCUAUGUAGAAAAGGAAAUGAAUUCUAUGCCAUGACUAGGGAGCACUUGUCUCAGAGGCAACAAAGAUGGUUCUUUGUGAACAAGUUGUUCAUAUCAUACUAGCAGUCUGAAGGAAAAUGUAAUAAUUUAAAGUUUUAGAAUAACUCAGUAAAAUCUGCUUUGUCCACAACUGGUUUUUUUUCCCCUUUGUAAAAUAAGGCAAACAUAGAAAUUACUAGGCUUGUAAAAGCUGUCUAUCUGAAAACCUUAGGAAAUGUUAAAUUUAAUGGUAAAACUUGACACUUUAUGUCUGAAGUCCUGAAUAAGACAACUUAACUCUUAAGUUGUGAACAAGUCAAGGGCGCCUACCAUGUCUUCUCCACGUGACUAUGUCCUGGCUGGAGAAAUGCAGGAAGAAAGAUAAAGACACAUGAUAUACAUGGAUUAAGAUGGGGUAACCAAAUCCGACCUGAUCAACAGAUGAGAGGACUUACUGUGGGGAAAACUGAAAGAAUCUAUGUGCAGACUGUGUUGGUAGCAUUCAGAUUUUCUUAAUUAAAAAAAAAAAUUCAUUAUUGCAUAUCAAUCAAACCCAGCUUAGAAAUCUGGUCUUGCCCUUCGUGAAUCAGCUCUGUACAGUACUGGAAAGGCAGAAACCCAAAUAUUCAUCCAACGCCUUUCUGAGGAGAGGUAUAUAAUGGUAAGCAUGAAACACGAGUGGACCAGGUAGACUGGCCAUAGUAUACCAUGUUCAUGGAUGCAGUAUUUAGCUUUGGGGAGAGGUUUUCUUACCUCUCUUCUCUCCUGAUGCUAAUGCUACACAAGUCACAGCUUACUCAUGACAAAAUCCUAACCAGGCUUUUA